UGUGUGUGUGUGUGUAUAUGUGUAUAUGUGUAUAUAUAUAUGUGUAUAUGUGUAUAUAUACAUGUAUAUACAUGUAUAUAUAUAUAUAUAUAUAUAGAGAGAGAGAGAGCAUCUCUAAGAUGCAUAUGACAGCAUUUUUUCCUCCGAAACAUUGAGGUAGUUCAGAUCUUGUUUUUCCUUUUGUUUGUUGCUUUUUCAUAGAUCUUCAAUUUUCUUCUGCAAUUAAAACACUCCAAAUGCUUACAGGAAUUUUGAGGAUAUGUAUGAUGCCGAUAAUUUCACUGCAAGCUUGACUGGAGUUAUAGAAGUUGUCAGAGAGCUUCCUGCUGAAGUAACUACUGAAAAUCCCGCUGUCAUCAGAGUCCCCAAUAGGGUAUCAGAGGACUUCAUUAAGAACAAUAUUCAACCAGUCUUCCAAACAAAAAGUUACCUGAGACUUGCAACCUUCUUCCCUUCAAUCAAUUUGAAAGCAUCGGGAAAGCCUAAUACCGACUUGGAUUCAACUGCUUGCUUAGCUAUGUUUGGAAGCCUUGUAAUGAAACAGGAAAUUUUGGAAGUGGUUGACCGGAUGGUUGAGAGACUGAAAACUAUUAGUCGCAAUACAGGAAGCCAGUUUAUUGCAGUCGACAUAAGGGUUGAUGUGCUAGAGAAAAAGAGCUGCAGAGAGAAAAGCAAUGGAAGAAAACCUUGUUACACUGCAGUGGAGAUCAGAGAUUUCUUAAGAAAAGUCGGGUUUAAUGCAGAUAACACGAUUUACCUAACUGAGACCUGGUGGCAUGAAAGUCUAAACCCAUUGAAGGAGGUCUUUCCGAAAACUUAUACUAAGGUAAGUUCCACUGAUUGCUUAACUCUAUGUUUCCAAGAACUUUAUGUUUGUGGUAUAGCAUUUAUGGUUGAUACAUAGGUUACGAUUGCACCAGUAUGUGCCGUGAGCAUUAGUGCAUGAACACUUAGUUAUGACUCAGAGAAAUUCUGUGUGCUUUCAAGCUUAACCAUCAGUGCAUCAUCCUUGACAUUUACAGUUAACUAUUUUGAUAGGCAAAAAUUUGGUUUACAUAUAAUUUUUCAUGUGUCUCAGAUAUUAUGUUUGCGGAAACAGUCAAAAAGUACAAAUUUGUUAAGGGAAGGUUUAGUUUAGCCUCUUGUUGCUUGUCUUUUGAUUGUGAUUAAUUCUAGGACACUCACCAUUUUGAUGAUACAUAAUCUUGAUAUUUUGUAAUUUGAUCAUGAAAUCUGCAUCUUUGGUUCCUCAGAAGCAUAUACUGUGCAUUCUGCCUCCGGCUCAAAGUUCAUUAGUUGAGCUAAAACUUAGAUCUAAAGAUUUACAUUCUGCUUUCGUUUUGUUGCAGGAUGAUCUGAUACCUGCAGAGAAGAAAGGUCACUUCCUCCAGUCUGGAGGCGCCGAGCUGCAGAGAGCACUCGACUUCCAAAUCUGUUCCAAAAGCGAUGUCUUUGUGCCUGCGAUAUCUGGUUUAUUCUACGGAAAUGUAGCUGGCAAGAGAAUCACUUUGGGUCGGACCCAAAUCCUCGUCCCAUCCCAAGUUCCUAGCUCCUCUCCUACAGCUUCCAAUUUCUUCUCGCCUUAUGUCUCCAAGAGGAAUCACGUUGCCUACUCAUGCUUCUGUUAGUUAUAUGAAGAAUGAACUGUAGCAGGGCAGCAGAGAGCCUCAUUCCUGUUGUUGGAGUCUGCUACUUAGCUUUCAUCUUUGCAAUGUGUACUUGGUUUCAAAAUGAUCAUAUGAAGUUGAACAAGUUGACUGUGUGCCGGGUACAUUUUAUAUAGGGCUGAAUUUUUACUAUCCAUAUGAGUUUUAUAAUGUACGAACAUGAAAAUUCAAAUCAUUGGAUGAAGAUGUUUGAGUCCUCAAUCUCUGGUAAAUGAAAAUUCAUACCAUCUUUUUAAGGUAUAAAUUCUAAAAUUAAUGUGAUGUAUUAUUUAUAUGCAUAAAAUGUGUUGAUCCUUUUGAUGUGUCUAUAUUACAUAAUGUCACGGACUUAGUUGGAAUUGCUUAAGCCGUGAAAUACCUUUGCGCCAACUUUUUGGAUUUAGUUGGGAUUGCUUAAGUCAUGACGUGCUCUUGCGUUAUGCAUUCGUAAAGGGUCAACCAGUUUGCAACCUCACUCAAGUCCCGAAGGACCUGUAAAAGAGAAAGUUGAUUAGUUAGAAAAACGAACAGCGGACAAGUCCUGAUGUCUUGUGAAAAGGGGAAGCUUUACAAGCAAUUCAACAAGCACCUUAAGUGCAAAAGAGAAAAGAGAAGAAAGAUAAAAGGACUUUAGAAGGUAGAACAAAUAGUUGCAAGUCCACAAACAACUGCUCAUCGGGUGCCGGGCGCGAAGGCAAGUUCUUGUCAAGUUAACGUGCGAACUUGUGAAGAUUUUUCAAUGCCCGAUAAUAUACCGAAGCCCCAUCCAACCCUGUGUCACUCGGGGGGUUCUAGGGUGCUGAGAUGGCUAACGUUUUGGGUGCUGUAGUGAGCUGCAGAAAACAGCCCGCAGCAUGUGAAAACGAAGCCAUUUUGGAGCUUUUUGGCCCAACGCGAUGAGCGGUCGCACUGUAACGCUGCAACCUGUUCGAACAUGUAUUUUUACAAACAAAAACAUACAAAACUAAAGCAAAAUAGACUGUCAUGUUUAUGUACAAGCAUGCAAAACGAAGUUGUUACGAGUGCGCGAUGACCGUUCGUGACAAUAAGGUAAUCAAUCACAUAGAAUAGGAUCUCGACAUUAACUAGUUUGGAUUACAGGCAUAUAAAAAUAUAAAAUAUUUGAAAUAUUACUGAUCAAUUUAAUAGUUUUCUAUUCAAUAUUAACAUCAAUUAAAAUUUCAUAUGGAGAAUUAAAUUUAAAUUUAAAGAUUGAAAGUAAUCAAUAUGAGAUUUCCGAGGGACGUAUUUGCAAUUUUUUGCAGAAUGGCUACUUAUAAGCUCAACUCUUCGUCUGAUGAAAACUCUCUUCGGCUCCCCCUCUUCGUUCGUCUCUUUCCCUUCCAUUCCAUCCCAUGGCCAUCGUAGUGGCAAAGAUCGGUGCCGUUUUGUCGGCCAAAACCCUAGCGCUUGAGCGCUUCCUCUCCUCGCCCUCCUAUUCUUCCUCGACCCGUGGCGUUGGCCUCAGGGUCGCCUGCAGAUCUUCGCCUUCUCCUUCCACGGAGACCAGGAUCUCACGGGCUCAGCGGCGCAUGGUCGAGGCGUUCAAUCCCGAUAUUCCCCUCGCCGAAGCCAUCACGCCCCCCAGCUCGUGGUGCACCGAUCCGUCUUUCCUCGCCCUCGAGUUCGACCGCGUCUUCUUCCGGGGAUGGCAGGCCGUCGGUAAUUCCUCCUCCUUGAAUCUAGAAAAAACCCUUCUUGUCUAUUGCUCGAUUGAACAUAACUACGUAAAGAGGGGAAGGAAUUUAUCACAAUUUGUCGCCAUGUUAAUGAUAUCUGAUCAUCUUUAUGGUGAUUUAGGGUGUGAUACGCCGUGAUCAUUGGAAAAAGAUUUUUGUUAUGUGUGUUCCUUAUCGUUGUUAGGGUUUAUAUUGAUUGAAUAUGGCUCUUCUCUUAUUGUAUAGUCGUCCUGUAAUCUUUGAUUCGGAAGAGCUGGAAUUUUUAUCUGCAGAUUGUAUUCAGUAGUUGCUGAGUUUCUUUAACUUAAUGAUAUGUAGGUUACACUGAACAGAUUGAGCAGCCUCGUGAUUUCUUCACAGGAAGGUAGUACCUUUCUUUUUAACCAAACUUAUGUGUUUUGGUAAGUUAAGUAAUUUGUGUUUGGUGCUUGUUCUUGUGGCUAAUGUGGAUGUGGUGGAAACUAAACUCCAGUGCUAGUUCGAAAAUAGCUUUUAGAUUGAAUCCAUGAAUUCUUGAAAAGUAAUAUACAGUCCUGGAAACUAGCUCUGAAGAAGCCUUGCCACAUCUCUGCAUCAUUUUUAGUUACUGAAUUUCUGUAGCUCAGAGGAAAAGUCUGCCUUUUUGUCAUACUUAUAAAACUGAAUUCAUUUGACUUUGUGUCAAAUUGGCAGUUGAAUUUUGAAGAUAUCAUGAGAAAACAUAAUAUGAAACCUGGACAUACAUGCACCCUAAGUUGUUCUGUUAGUAGAGACUUUAUAUAUGUGGUAGGAUUCAUUAUUGAUCUAUUACCUAAAUUGACUAAUAGAACACAGAUCCAUGUGUAAGGGCACAAGGUUAACUUUUCAAGAAAUCAUAAGAAGCAUGAGACCCCUUUAACAGUAAUUAGGAAUGGACUUAGUCACGUACUUAGUUAUAAAGCUCUUUCUCUAUGCAACAUCAGACCUUAUUCUUUUUGAAAUCCUAAAUUAGUAUGAUAUUUUAGGACGGACACCUUGUUUAACUAAUUCAGAAUUUCAAAUUGUACAUGACAUAACUGAUCUGUUUGCUUGUGCACACUGUUUCUAAUUACAGACUGGGAAAUGUUGAAUUUAUUGUUUGCCGAGAUACUAAUGGAACUCUUCGUGCUUUUCACAACGUGUGCCGCCACCAUGCUUCUCUAGUUGCCUCUGGAAGUGGGCAGAAGUCAUGCUUUGUGUGCCCUUAUCAUGUGAGUUUCUAGAAGUGAAAUCAUAUCUAAAAAACAUUUAAGGACAUAUCUAGGCAUGUGCACAAACUCUCGUGUUCUCAUAAAUUUACAUGAUUAAUAUGAAUCAUCUUAUAUCAUUUGUGUAUCAUGACAUCUAGGUCUUCUAAUAUCUUAUUUCUUUAGGGGUGGACCUAUGGUCUAGAUGGCACCCUAUUGAAGGCUACUCGAAUUACAGGAAUCAAGAACUUAAAAAAGGAUGUAUGUUUUGUACAGAUGUGUUCCAUUUUUUUCUAUGAGUUCUUUCCAUGAUGUAGAGGUGAAGUGGAUCUUUGCUCUUGGGGAGCAGGAAUUUGGUCUUAUACCAUUGGCUGUGGCUACUUGGGGACCUUUUGUACUCAUCAGAUUCGACAGGCAUCCUGUUCCUCAGCAAAAUUGUUGUACUAAGACAGUGGAAAAUGAAUGGCUUGGGAGUGCUUCAAAUAUCCUGAGCACGAAUGGGAUCGACUCUUCAUUGAAACAUGUUUGUAGGCGUGAAUAUACUGUCCAAUGUAAUUGGAAGGUAUGAUGUAGCAAUGCCUAACUUCAUUGGCAGUUAGCAUUUCAUUUGUUGGUAACUAGGCUUUAGCAUUGACAAGAAAAAGUAGAUGACGUCAUGCAUAAUAUAUCUAUUGUUUUCUCAUCAAUUUUGCCAUUCAUCCAGGUUUUCUGUGACAACUACUUGGAUGGUGGAUAUCAUGUUCCUUAUGCUCAUGGAGAUCUUGCAUCUGGUCUUAAUCUUGACUCAUAUUCAACCCUUGUAUGGUAACUCCUAAGUAUGACUAUUCAUUUUUAGAUCUUCCAUAUCCUUUGUUGUUCUCAUAAUACAAUCUCAAACUUGGCAUUUGUAAUAAUCGGAGCAGUAGUCUUUGUAGUUCUUUAUUGUUUCUUGAACCUGUACAUGCUGAAGUAGACACAUGAAACUUUGGACAUGAUUCAACUAACUCCUAUAAGAGCUUUUACUUAUUCUACUUUGAUGUUUCAUCUAUUUUUUCCCUUUUCCCGAUACCGAUGUACAACCAGAUUUAAUCUUAGCUUUGCAUGCAUCUAUGUCAACUCUUUAUGGAACUGAUUUAAACUAUAUUACUAAUUUAGUCCCUUUUAUUAUUCUGAAUCUGUAUAGGAAAUAAAUAAAAGCAACAAGAUUUUGUAUGUUACUCUCAUUUUGAGCUCUUAACUGUGCUUUGCAGAUAUUUGAGAAAGUGAGCAUUCAAAGAUGUGAAGGUGGGCCAACGGAUAAAGAUGGAUUUGAUCGGCUAGGCUCAAAAGCAUUAUAUGCUUUUGUUUAUCCUAACUUCAUGAUCAACAGGUCUGUUGGAACUUAUUCAGCUUCUUUGAAUAGAAAACACAGGAUUAUGGUUUUUAGCAGCUCUUGUGCUUUUAUGUCAAGUGAUAUUUGAUUAUUGGGUAUAUGUAAUGCAGGUAUGGUCCAUGGAUGGACACUAACUUAGUUGUUCCAGUGACCACAACCAAAUGUCAAGUGAUAUUUGAUUAUUUUCUUGAUGUGUCCCUUGUGGUGAGUACCUUAAUGCUUGUUUUGCUCGUUAGAAAUUCAUUAACGAUCAUCCUAGAAAGUGCAAUUCCAACUUCUGAUAGCCUUUCAUGCUGCUGUGGAGCAUAUUUGUCAUAUCUGUCAUUAUCUGUCACAGAAUUAAGGGUCAUUCAGGAUGAGUCAUCUGAAAAUUUUGGAGUUAUUGUGAUUGAUGAGUGUGGCCCAAUUUCCUCGACUCAGAUCAAUACAUGACUUGAUCCUUAGUCACCUAAAUUGCAAAGGAGCAACUUUAUCAUUGACCUUACUGGGGCUAUAACCUAGCUAAACUGGUAGAAAGAUCUGUGUGAAAAAAUUUCUUCUUGUUGGCCAAUAGCUUCAUCUUUCUAUGGACUUUCAAACUCAUUAAAAUAACUGCAUCCGGUCCAUACUUGCACCAUGGAUUUAUUGCUGGAUCUCUAUGUGACAAGAUUUGCCUAUUGAUUUAAGUGCUGAAAUAUUUCCAAUUUCUGUUUAACAUGGUUGCACUAAAAGUUUCAGUUUAGAUAGCUCAUGAAAGUGCAGGUAUUGGACUUCAAGCUCCUUUCUUUUACCCUAAUAUUCUUCAGAGAUUCAAAAAUUUGGAAGGCAUUAUCUUGUUCCCGACAACAUUUUGGUAUAUUGGUUGUUUUGGAACAUCAGUAAGGCAAAACUAAUGCUGAAGGAUAAAAUUCAGCAUCAGUAUAUUUAAGUGCUUCAUUUGUCUACCAUGGUUUCUAGGGUUCUAGAAUAUCACAACUUGGUUCUUGUUUGAUCCAUUCGAUAUAUCAGCUUUACUAAGCUCUCUCGUAUGAAAUGCUCCAGGAUGACAAGGUGUUCAUCGAGAGAAGUUUAGAAGAGAGUGAGAGAGUGCAGGUGCGUCAUCACUUCUUCCUCAGCCUUGUUGCAUAUUAAAAUUGAAUGAACAGAUUGAGGUCAUCAACACAAGCUUCCAAAUUGGAGUGCAGUUACAAGACAUCGUACUAUGUGAAGGGGUUCAGCGAGGCCUGGAAUCGCCAGCUUACUGCAGCGGAAGAUAUGCGCCAACGGUUGAGAUGGCCAUGCAUCACUUCCACUGUCGGCUGCAUGAGUGCCUUGGUAACAUCUAAUGUGUUACUGCUUGCUUCUCCUUCAUAGAACAUAUGAACCUUAGCAUCGCAACUUGAAUUUGUUGGAUUCCUAGCAAAUUUAUUUGCAAUGCUAAAAUAUAUAGACUUCAUUUUGGUAAUAUUGAUACCAAGCAUAGUCGAAUAACUUGUCGAGCCAACUCGAAGGCUCAAGUUGUGAUAUACAACCAACAACAGAAAUUAUAGAAUAUAUAUUAAGUCUCCAAAUUAUUGUGCAAAUCUCAGUAAACAUGACGUAUGUCAUUCAUCAUCAUCAUCGACAGCAGAAUAUCUAUUUACACUCCGGAUGUCGAACAAUUCGUCUGUGUUCAGCUAAAAAAAAUGAGCGGCAAGCAAAAGGAAGGAACGACCGACAAACUUCAACGGGAGAUGAAAAAUGUGUACCUUUAAUCAUGGGCUUCUCAUACGUCUGAUGCAGAGAGAUGUUCAAGCGUAGAAGGUGGUGGCAGUGGAAGAAGCUCGAUGGGAGACCAAGCGACGGCGGCAGAGGGUGCAGAUGAACUUCCGCUUGGUCCUGAAGCAGAGGGGGAGGAAGCAGAAGCUGCAGGCGCUCUCCACGUCGGUGGCCACGACCUUUCCGCCGAUAACUCCGCAGCACUCGCUGCUGCUCCACGUCGCACAGCAACACCAGGCACCUCUCUCUCUCUCUCUCUCUCUUUCUCUCUCCCUCUUGCGCGCGCGUGUUUCAGUGCAGUCGCGGAGAUCUAUGGUGAAUUUUUGGAAAAGGCCUUUGACUCUCAGUUUUUUUCUAAAGCAUUCUUAUUUUAAAAAUAUCUAAAUAGCACAUCUAUUUUAUAAAAUCUAAAUAGCACAUCCAAGGGUUUAGGGUUUUCGGUUUUUGCGUUGAGUUCUUGUGUUGGUACUGUUCCAUUCAAUAAAAAAUAAAUAUUAUCUUUGAAUCUAUUUUAUAAAAAAAUAAUAUUAUCAUAAUAUCCUUGAAAAUUUGAUUGGGUUUACACAGGGUUAAUCGAAAAAAAAAGUUUUACUUGAAUCGAUUCACAUUUACCAAUCGAUGUGAACGGUGGUGUACAACAUUGUAUCUUUGACCUUUUCAUAUUCUAUAGAUGUCUUCAACUUUCACCUAUUCUGUAGUCAUCAAGUAGCGUUGAGUUCCUACAUCGAAAGGUUUAGGGUUUUCGGCAGUUACCAAAGUACGUUGAGUUCUUGUGUCGACACUAUUCCACUGUAUUCUGUCGCCACUAUAAUGAGACUUCUAGGGUUCUAGCAUUUUAUUUUUGUGUCGAGUUCCAUAUUCUCAACUACAAUGGUUCCAGCUUGUUGGCUUCUAGGGUUUCAUCGUUUGUGACAGCUUUUGCCUCAUUUCUAUAAUAUUUUGAAGCUAGGUCAUAUGAACAUUGUGAACAUUUGAUGUUUAUCGAUCAAUGUGAAGGGAGGGUUAUGGGUUUUUACUAUCAAGAUUUUGAACAUUGUUUAUUAAAAAAAUUUAAACAGUGCACUUCUAUAUCAAAUUUUAUAAUUUUGAGUAUUUUUUAAUCAAUUUUUCAACUGAGUAGUCUUUCAUUUUCUUAUUUCUCCUUAUAUUCAAAUUAUAUCAAAAUAUAAUGCAUCCAUAUAACAGGUCCACAAUAUAUGAAAAAAAAUUGUCCAUAAAAAUUUUUCCUAAUACUCAAUACCUUAUUUUUGGAUAAAAUAAAAAAAUAAUAUAUUGAUUAGAAGGACUAUUAAAAAUGAUUAGAAUUUUUUAAUAUGGCACAGUUGGACAUACAUCACUGUUUUUCUAUUUUAGAGAUAUUUUUUGAUAUUUUUAUGAAUUUUCCAGCAUUUAAACAAUAUAUCAUUUUAUAAUUUUUCUCCUUAUUUUUUUUAUUUUUACAAAAAUAUAAUAUAUCAAUAUAAUAUUUCUUGACAUUUGAGCUUCUAAAUAGGUCCAAAAAUAUUUUUUAAAAUGCGAUGUAUUAUUUUUUAAAAAAAUACAAACAAUGCAUAUUAUAGAAAUACUAUUCAAAAUGACAUGAAGCUUUUAGAAAAGCUUUGAAAAUGAUAGAGCAAGACAUGUGUCAUUGUUUUUUCCAUUUUAGAGAAUUUUUAUUCUUGUUAUGAAUUUUUUAGAAUCUGAAUAGUAUUUUUUAUUUUCUCCUUUUUUAAUUUCUAUCAAAAUAUAAUGCAUCAAUGUAAUAUUUUUUUGAUAUUUGAACUUCUAAAUAUGGCCACAAUAUAUGGAGAAAAUUUAAUCUAUAAAAAAAAUUUCUAAUAUGCAAUGUAAUAUUUUUGGAAAAAUUUUAAAUAAUAGUGUGUCACUUAGUAGGACUAUUCAAAAUGAUCUAAAUUUUUAAAAUGCAUUGAAUACAACAUACAUGUGCAUAUGUCAUUAUUUUUCAUUUUAAAGAAAUUUUUGAUAUUUUUUGUGAAAUUUUAAAUUUGUAAAUAGUAUUUCAUUUUUUAUUUUCUUUUUUAAAUUUCUAUCAAAAUAUAAUGCAUCCAUUUAAUAUUCUUUAACAUUUGAGCUUCUAAAUACAACCAUAAUAUAUAGAGAGAUUUUGAUCUAAAUAGAUAUUUAAUAUGUGAUGCACUAUUUUUGGAGAAAAUUUAAAAAUAGUACAUCACAUGCAAGAAUUGUUCCAAAUGAUAUGAAAUUUUAAGAAAAAUUUGAAUAUGACACAAUGACAUAUGCCACUAUUUUUUUAUUUUAGAUAAUUUUUUGAUAUUUUUACAUUUUUUUAGCAUCUAAAUAGGGUUUUAUUAUUUUAUUUUCUAUUUUUAAAUUUCUAUCAAAAUAUAAUGGGUUCAUGUAAUAUUUUUUAAUAUUUGAGCUUCUAAAUAGGUUCACAAUAUAUGAAAAUUUUCCUAAUAUGCAAUGUAACAUUUUUGGGAAAAAGUUAAAAAUAAUAUGUCGCAUUGUUUCAAAUGACCUAUUUUUUUAAGAAAAGUUUUAAACACAACACUGAUGGACAUAUGUCACUUUUUUUUAUUUCAUAGAAUUUUUUGAUAUUUUUAUAAAUUAUUUAGCAUCUAAACAAUAUUUCAAUUUAUUGUUUUCUCUUUGUUUUUAAAUUCUACUAAAAUAUAAUUCAUCCAUACUUUCUAACAUUUGAGCUUCUAAAUAGGUCCAUAAUAUAUAGAUAAAAUUUGGUCUAAAAAAUAUUUUUUAAUAUGUGAUGCACUUCUAAAUAGGUACAUUGCAUAGAAGGACUCUUUAAAAAAAUAACCUAAAUUUUUUUACUAAACUUUGAAUACAACCUAGAUGAACAUAUGUCACUAUUUUUUAAUUUAUAGGAAUUUUUUUUGAUAAUUUUCAAAUUCUUUUAGCAUCUAAAUAGUUUUUUUUUAUGUUUUUAUUUUUUUCUAAUUUAUACCAAAAUAUAAUGCAUCCACAUUUGAGCUUCUAAAUAGAUCCAUAAUAUAUGGAGAAAAUUUGAUCAAAAAAAAAAUAUCCAAAUAUGUGAUGCACUAUUUUUUGAGAAUUCAAAAAUAAUGCAUCGAAUAGAAGAACUCUUCAAAAAAUAGUGAAUAUGAUCUAGUUGGACAUAUGUCACUAUUUUUCCAUUUUAGAGAAACCUUUUACUAAUUUUUUGAUUUUUCAGCAUUUGAAUAGUGUGCCAUUUUCCCAUUUUCUUCUUAUUUUUUAUUUGCAUAAUUAUUGAUUAAAUUAUCAACUCUAAUCUCUUUGGCUUUAAACAAGAAUUAAUCAUAUCACCAAGUUCUUAUUAUACACGUAGAAAUUCCAAAGCCAACUGCAAGAAUGUCAAUUUAUACAUAAGUAUAUUUUUGUUUAAUUUUUUAUUAUUAGUUUUUUUAAUUAUCAUUGAUAAUUUUUUUUAAUUUUAUCUAUGUAGUUACAUAUAUUGGUAAUCGUGGAUCAGGUCAUUUCAACGAUGAAGAGAGAUAAAAAGUCCUUCUAAUUAGAUAGUUUUAAGAUGAAACUUUGUGGAUCAUUUUUGUCACUUCCUUAUAGCAUCCGCUAUGCUUAAUUGAGUAAAAUUGAUCUCAUUAUAACAAAAAUUGUCAUUUAGGUAUUAUAAGGAGUACUUUUAUUUGACCAUUUCUUAGAUAUCCGUGAUAUUAUCAUAUCUUAUGGAUUAAUAUUGAUAAUUAUAAAAUGAUGGUAUAAGUUUCUAGUGAAUGUAGUGGAAUUAUCAUUUUUGGUAUUGGAUAUAUCUUUUCUUCUUAAUCCAUCAAAUACUAAAAAAAUUAUUGAUAUAAAGUCAUCUGGAUUUUCUAGGUAUCUUAAAAAAUAUUUUUACAAUCGAAGUAUCAAUCGCAGCGAUUUAGAAAAGUACAUGAUAGAUCAGUUAUGAAUUUUUGUCAUUGUAUGUGCUAUAUAUAUUUGCAUGUAUAUAAUUUUGUCAAGGCAACUACAUAUUACAAUGGUCAUUAGUUAAUAGUUUGAAAAUUUUUAAUAAGUAUAAUUGAGUAUUUGUAGUUCAUUCAUUAUUUUUUAGAUGAUUUUACGAGUGAGAGAGAGAAUAUGAAAUUUUAAGUGAAACUAGUGUUCAUCUAUAAGUAUUUGAAGGGUUAGCUACCUAUAUUAUAGAUAAAUUAUUAUACCCUAUUUUUUAUAUAAUAUAAUUUGAUCCUAAUAGGUAUUUGAUGUUUGAUAUGGGUAGUUUUGUGAACACGUCUCGAAGUAUAAUCUCUAAGAUUAUGGAAAUGAUCUAUUCUUAUAUUACAUUGAAAAAUAAUUAAUAAAUUGAUAUCUACAAUAUCAUAUGACAAAAGUAUGUUCUAAAUUUAGAUUUGUAAUUGUACCUUCUUUUGGAAAAUUAUCAUAAUGAUCAUUUUUUGCUAUUCAUAUAUUAUUAGAAAGCUAAGUCCUUUACGAUAUGAGGUAUGGUUAAAUUCAUACGAUUAACCACCUGAUGAGGUACUAAAUGCUAAGGUACCAUUUGCUGAAAUAUGUUUCUCCAAUCAACCAUACCAAUUGUAGUUUUCUUUAAUAUAACUAGGUAAUGAAUUAGUUUAUCAUUCUAAACUUAUGACACCUUCGAUACAUAUAUAUUGAUAAUGUCUCAACAGAGUAAUCCAAGCCACAUGAAUCCCAACAAUCACAAUGCAGAAACUAUGUUAUAUGUAUUGACAUGCUUAGAACUUUCAUGUUCUUUGUGCAGCAAUAUGGCUGGGGUUAUGCGGUCAUUAAAAUGUUACCCAAGGAAUUAAAAAAAUAUGUGUACCAAUUGAUAAGGUAUGUUUUGGGUCAAGACACAUCACAACCGAUGCCACGCCAUGCUACAGCCGAGUCAGUAAGGGGAGCACCCCCACGCGUCAAGUCAGAACUCAUACCAAGGCGUUGUUUGGUAUGUCCUGUCCCGGAAGCUCGGGACGGCGCCAUCUGGCAUCGUUCCGCACGUCCCAGGACGGUGGCCGCACAAAAGUGUCCUCUCAUCCCUCGAGGAUCGGUCGCCACGCUAAACCCGCAUACGAUCAACCCUCGUACAAUAAUAUAAAAGCCCUCGGUCGGCAUCCGACUAGAGAGAGAGAGAGAGAGAGAAAAAAAAAAAAGAAAAAAAUAACUAUUGACUUGCUCGUCGGAGGGGCCAAAGUCGGGAAUCACCCGACAAAGGCCAUUUUUGCAGGAAAGUGAUCACCCUCGAGCCGCGAGCGUCUCAACAUGGGAAUUGUCAUCUAGUGUACGAAGGCGAGUUGCUGACCAGCUUGGAGACGAAGAGACGCUGCUCAACACAGACGACACCCAGACCGAGGAAUGUUGAUUAACACCCCGUCGCGAGGGCCCGGCCUACCUCGACAUCUAGCUUAGCCGAUAGAAGACUCCCGACAUCGACCUGUGGACCAAGUCAUGCUAACUCAUCAGUCACAACAUAUUUGUUCACUAACACCAAUGAUAUGAAUACAUGGUUUACAAAUACAUCGACCAAGUCAUGCAAUCCCUAUGAAAUGGGAGUCAGAAAAAGAGACAGAAGAGGAGUUGCUGUAAAAAGAAGAUAAUGAAGAACAUAACCAAGUAUAUCUAUUGUGUACCUAAAAAAUUAGAAAAGAAUAAGGAGAAAUUAGAAAAGAAUAAGGAGAUGGACCGAACAUUAUUUUUCUUCUCCAUAGUAGAGGCCCAAGUAAAGCCCAAACCUCCAAGACAAUAUUGACUAUGAGAAGGAGAUGUCUAUGUAACUUUUUAAUAGUUUUUAUAAGAUACCAAAUAAACUUAGAAAGAGGAUAUCUGAACUAAUUUUAUUGAUCUUAUAGAGAAGGCGAUAAUAAUCUUAUGUAAGCUAAAGUCGUUAUGUGAGUUAUAAAAUAUUAUUUUAUUAAGAGCUUGAUUAUAUGUAAUAAGUUUUUCAUUUGUUUCUUAAAUAUAAGGUAGCUAACCAAAAUAAUUGAUUUUUUAACGUUAUAGUUUAUCAAUCGAAAUAAUUUGGAAGGAUGAGGUAUGCCACCUCUGCUUUAUGAAGUUGAUAGAUUAUUUGUACAGUAUAGUAUAGUAGAUGAUGAUGUAAUAUAUACAUGUCAAUAUAUUCUAAUUAGAAAGACACAUGCGAUGUCAUCACUUGAAAAAUAUUAUGUGUGAUAUACAGUGUCAUAAUUUGAAAAAUCUUAUGUGUCAUCGAUAGCAACAUAUUUAGGAUUUGAUGUACAUAUGUAUUUAGUAUUCUUGAUAUUUUUUAUUUAGUAUAGAAUUUUUACACAGUCCAAAAAGACUCUUUGAAACACAAUCAACUAAAUAUAUUUUUAUGCCACUACAUAUUAAAAAAUUAGAGCAUUGACAUCUUUUGGUUGUUAAUCUAAGAAAAAAAUAUUUAAGAGCAUUAUAAUUCAAUGUCCAAUCUAAAAAGUAAUGUUAAAAUAUAUUAUAAAGCAGUAAGUGUUGAUUCCUUUUAAUGUUUUGUUUCGAUAAAUAAAUAUAAUAAAUAUUAUUUCCAAUAUUGUAGGUGAACACAUUGAGAAAUUUGAGUGACGUCAAUCUAGAAUUAUUGUAUCCUAGAAUCAUGUCAUUCAUUAAAUCAAAGGGAUGGAUCUAGAAAAAUAUAGUCCAUCUGAAGCAAAUUACAUCGAAAUUUACAAUGUUCAAAGACUCUGAAAUACCAUAAACAUUCCAUCGUUGAUUAACUAUAUAAUUUAUAACCUUUGUAUAUUCCAGGAAUGAUCGUGCUAUAAAGUUUAUCGAGCGUUUCUUUUUUGGAUUUCCUGUGUUAUUAUUCUCCCAGAAACAGAUGAGGGCAUAUCGAAUGCAAAUUGUAGGAGCAAUUAUGGAUGAUGAACAUUUUUGUGGAGAAUAUGCUUCUUAGUUCUAUAAAAGUCAGAUGUAUCUCUAAAAUCUUACAUAUGGCCUUGUAAAUGGUGUGCUAUAUUCAAUGCAAUUAAUGGUUCGAUUUUGUGGAGAAUAUGAUUUUCUAAAAGUUUUUUUAUAUUUGAAAAAUUGUACAUAUGACAACAGUUUUGUACAUGUAAAAAAGGGCAUCUGUUGUAUUGUAUACAUGAACAUUUUGUAUAACACAUUUUAUAAUUAUGCAAAUAGAAUUUUGGGAUACUACAUAGUAUUUCUCUAAUGUGUAUCCCAUUGUGUAUGACUAAAUGUUGUUGAAAACAGAGCAUUUUUUAAACUUCACCAAGUUUUUUCCUAGUUUCUAGUCAAAAUGAUCUGAAUUGUUUGAAAUAUUAUAGAGGAUUUCUCUAAUGUAUAUUUCAUUGUGUAUGACUAAAUGUGGAAAAUAGAGCAUUUUUCAAAACUUCUCUAACUUUUUUCCUAUUUUCCAGUGGAAAUGAUCUGAAAUUUUCAUGAAAGCAUUCAAUAAUAUUUUCCGGUGGAUAGAUAUAUGUACUUUUUCCAUUUUAGAGAAUUUAUUAUAUUUUUUGAAUUAUUCAGCAUUUGAAGAGUGUGUCAUUUUUCGAUGUAAUGUUUUUUGACAUUUGAGCUUCUAACUAUGUCUACAAUGUAUGAGAAAAAUUUAGUCUAGAAAUUUUUCUUUUUGGACCAAAUGACAUUGUUUUUCUAUUUUUCAGGAUUUAUUUGAUUUUUUCUGAAUUUUUCAGCAUCCGAAUAGUAUAUCAUUUUUUAUUUUUAACAAAUUAUAAUGUACUUUGAAUUUCUGAAAUUUUUUAACAAUUUUUUAGUAUAAAAUUUCUGAAAAUAGUUUGAAUGCAAUCCAUAUGAACAUAUGAAACUUGUUUUUUAUUUUACAGAAUUUAUUUAAAAAGUUUAGAAAAUUUUCCAACAUCUGAAUAGUAUUCCAUUUUCCUAUUGUUUUCAUUUUUUUUAUUUUCAACAAAUUAUAAUGCACUUGUCAUUUUUUUAUUCCUUUUGAACUUCUAAAUAAGUCCAUAAUAUAUGAAAAAGAAUUUCUAAUAUGCAGUGUAUUAUUUUUGAGAAAAAAUUAAAAAAAUCUAUAUCACAUAGAAGAACUAUUCUAUAUCAAUGAAAAAGGACUUGAAAUUUUUAGGAAGGCUUUGAAUACCACCUAGAUAAACAUAUGUCACUAUUUUUUUUUCUUAUUUUUAUUUGAUAUUUUUCUGCAUUUUCAGCAUCUAAGAAUUAUGUUAUUUUUCUACUUUUUUUUUUUUUUUUGAUUCUACCAAAAUAUAAUGUAUCCAUGCAAUGUUGUUUGACAUUUGAAUUUCUAAACAGAUACACAAUGAUAUUGGUUUUCUAUUUUACAGAAUUUAUUUGAUAUUUUAANNNNNNNNNNNNNNNNNNNNAUAUAUAUAUAUAUAUAUAUAUAUAUAUAUAUAUAUAUAUAUAUAUAUUGUACAAGAAUAUUAUUGGUGAAUGAAUGCACCAACAUAAUUUGAUGAUGAUAAUUAUAAUUAUUAUUACUAUAAUUAUGCAUCACGUUAUAAUAGCUUAUGUGUCAUAAUCUAGGCCAAUUCUAAUUUGACUUUACUAGCAAAAAUAAAUAUAUGUGUGUCAUGUUAAUCUUGAUUAUUUUUGUUAAAUACCUUAUCCUCUUCCUCCCCAAAUAAAUAUAAAGAAACUUAUCUUCUCUAUUAUUUCUAAGACAAAUAUGGACUCCGAGUUAAAAGAAAUUUUAAGCUGCUAUAAGAUCCAUAGGAGUAGAAUUGAAUGUCUCUUUCAUAAUUUGACAAAUUCAAUCCCAUUGUUCAAGAAAUGAUUAAGCAAAGAAGUUUUGCUGAAAAAUAGACAUUAUUAUAAAGUAUAAGGAAAUACUGGGAAAAUUGGUACUUUGUUGUAUUUUACUCAAAGGAACAAUUAUCAUUUUGAUUAUUUUUAAUUCUCGACAUCUCUUUUGUUUUCACUUGUGAAGUCUUUUCUUCUCUUUGGAUUGGUUUAAGCUUAAAUCAAAAAUAUGUAAUAGCCUCAAAUACUUGUUGUUCCAACAAUAAAAGUUAGCUACUUGAAUCUGACCUCAACCUGCACUACUUCCGAUCUCAGAUUUCAGUGGUCAUUGCAAAGCAUGGCUGGUGAUAGGGUGCUCAUAGCCCCUCCCCUCUCUUCUUCUUCAAUGCCUAACUCUUUCAGACACACAAUGGCAGAAUGGAGCACGCACGAGUGGUGGAGUAGAAUGAAUCUUAGGAGUUCAUUCCCGUCUGCAACACACCUUGGUUGCUUCUUCCCGAGCUUGUUGGCUUUCAUCUUUAUGGAAUGUCUCUAGUCUUCGAACCUUGUGACGGCCUUCUGGGUGUUGUGGACCUUCAGUAUCCUGUCUAUCUUGCAGACUGGAGAUUGAUUCUCGAGCCAACUUGACUGGAAAAUGAUUUCAAUUAUGGUUCUGCUUGUGUCUUCAGGACCCAAGUCGGAAAUUACUGCAGAGAACAGAAGAUUCAGAUGAGUAUAUCUUGUAAAUGAUAAUGAAGUAGCUGAAAACAUGACAAGUUUCUCAGAUUGAGAACCAGAAACCAAGUUGUUCAUGAUGAAGAUGGAUAAUUGCUUGCAUGGCUAAUUGCUUGGUGUCAGCCAUCACAUGACACUCAUGGCACCCAGAGAACUUCCUCAGGUGCAUUCCUUUGAAAGAUCCUCCCAGACAAGAAGAAGACGAUGUAACAGAGGCAGUGAUGGAAGCAGAUGAAUGAAGAGGUGAAGGAGGUGGAAAUAGCUCCACUAAUAUAUUUGGAAGGAGACCUGAAGGAUCUGCUUGGAGUAUUAAGUAAGACUGCCGGUCGCGGCCAGUCUCUUAGAAGACUCAGGUGUGGUGAUCUCUGGCUUGACAACACUUGGGCUGUUCCCCAUACAGAAAGACACACAGCAUGGAGUCUCGUUGGGUUUCUUCUUCCCUUGUACAUCAUUCUGAUCUUUACACGAAAGCCAACGUCUCCAGGAACCCCCAGGAGAGCGAGUUCUUGGCGUUCCUUUGACCUUGUCUCUUACUCUUGCUGCUUCUGUUGCACGCCCUACUUGCAUUACUUGUAUCUGCCAUCGGGAGUAGUGGUGAUCUUGCUUCCAAGUCUGCUUCUUGAGGCCUGGAGUGUCUUCUCCUUCCUCGGAUCAGAUGAAAUACUUGUGUGAUGUGUACAUAGCUACAUUAUUGCAGGCAUUGUGAAGGAAAGAAUACUAGAAUGUAGCAACCGAGACCUGGUUGGUGGUCGUCGGAGGAGACAACUAGGAAAUGGUGGCCAUCGGACAUAUACUCAUGUUAAGACACCUUUGUUGCACUUAUUCCUGCAAUUAGCAUGGCUACUGUAAGCUCAUCUUUGUCAAACAGUAGACUACUGUUCUUGACGAUGAAGGAUAAGGAAUCAGUAGCUUCCUUCAGGUGGGCUACCAUUCAUUCAUCAACCCAGUCAAGCCAGAUCAAAGAGACCACGAUCUGUCGUCUGACAAAAGCAGAUAGCUAAUAUGAAGAGAGUCAGAAAUCACAAGCUAUGUUACAACUUCAUUUCUUCUCUCUUUGCUGAUCUUGCAAUCUGAUUGAUGAUGAUGAAGAUGGAGAUGAAUGGCUUAUUUCUUGCUGCCAAAAGCCCUUCUCUAAUCGCGACAUCUUCAUUAUAUAAGAUAGAUCUAUCCAUGGAACUUCUGCAUCUUGCAAAAACAGUAAACCCCUCAUCAAUUCUUAGAAUAAAAAGCAUAUAUCACCGUCCUGCUCAUGAUGGCCAAAGCCAUCAGUAUUGAGCUUGUGUCAACCCUUCUCUGGUUUUCUCCGUGUCACUUACACACUUCUCUCAAAUCCAUUAGAACAUGUGGUGUGAUUAAAAUCUAUAAGGAUUCGGCAUCAUUUCGAGCUUUCCAUAUUACCCACAAAAAUAUUUGCAAUGGUGACUUUCUAAGAUCAAAAUUUUAUUAUGGGCCGUAUCAUUUAAUGACCUUCCAUAAUAACACUAACUGCUCUUGACAAAAUCUUGCGAGGAUUCGGCCUCAUCCCAUUGAAUUUAAAUUUAGCAUCAUUUUUAGCUCUCCAUAUUACCUGUAAAAUAUUUGUAAUGGUGGCUUUCAAGUUCAAACUAUUGGUAUGGGCUGUAUCAUUAAUCACUUCAUGGACUCUAACAAUGCCGGAGAAUUCUACUUGGGCUUCUCCUCCGGUGAUUAAAUCAGUGCAGAGCCCUUAAGAGAUAUGAUCUUCUUAUAUCAAAGAUGCAUUCGAGGAUCCCGAGCAUUGGACUAUUAAAUGAUAGAGUGCCUACACAACAUAUUUUGACAGAAAGCUCCGCUUUGCUGAAGUACUAUUGUAUGUGAUGAAAAGAAUAGAAGAUAAGAACAAUUACUGAAGAAAUUUUAUUGAAGAAGAAAAGAAACUUUAUUGAAGAAAUAAAAAUCUUUCAAUUCAUUAACAUGUUCCCUCUCAUAUUUAUACAGAUUAAAGAAAAGAUUUCCCUCAACAGAAUAGAAGAUUUUCCUCAAAGAGAGAUUUUCUCGAGAUACAUAUGCCUGUCGAGCCUCGUAACGCAGGCUUGUCACCCGAGCGAGGGAACGAAGGAGGUGGAAUGGUGUUAUUGUGUUUGACCUGGUUAGGUUCGACCCACCCAACCCCGACUUGCCCGUUCCGAGUCAGGCAAAUGAGCUCAGGCUGAUUUCACAGACUCAUCUAAUUUAAGUCUCUAGUUUCCAGUACAUCAUCGUCGCUCUAGGGAUAACAAGCAAAGACCAAAACACUUUGUCAACCUUCCCAGUAUUCCCCAGCCUGGUCAUCAGCAGAAAGAUAUCUGUAGGCAAUUUUAGAAGAGGCAUACCUUCUGGUAUCAUAUCUCCAUACCCAACAAUCACCAUGAGGAAUAAGAGGAAUCACAAUUUUAAUAAUAUGAUUUAUUCAGUUUAAAGAUAUUUCAUUCCAUGCCGUAAGAAUACAGAAAAAUUUUUAUAUUAAGAUUGAAAUCAAAUAAUAUUAGAUUGAUUUUACAAUAAGUACCUUUUGAUAUCAUCUGAAAAGAUCUCAAUGUGACAUACAAAAACAUCAUACUAAACUCUUCUUCUCAAGAAUAGAGAGUCUCUUUAUUACGUCUUCUAUGAGAUAUGUUCGUUUAAUUCCUCCGAUUAAAAUAUUCAUAAAAAAUUCUAUUAUAAUAUAAACUUCUUUUCUAUUAGGUAAUAUUUAUUAUCAAAAUUUAAUUAGUUAUAUAAUAUAUAUUAUUCAAUUAUAAAGAUAAAUUAAUUUUAUAUAUAAUGGAAUGUCAAAAACCUCAUUAUCCUCCCGCAAUGCCUAGCUUGCUUCAAGUAUCAUCCACAUUUAAAUUACAUAGAUUAAGUUCGUUCAAUGAAUUAGUGCUCGACUCAUAACAAUUUUUCUAACCAUAUUUUAAUAGGAUUUAAUUGGGUUCGAUCAAUGGAUUCUUUGUUAAAUUUAAACGGAUCGGGCAGGUGUAGUUGAAAUGACCCGACCCGUUUACUAACAUGGCAUCUCACCCAUCCACGACUGCCUCCUCCACACGUACGCGUGCCUACAAAAAAACCCUCGUCGCUGCGGUUCCUCUCUCGACGUUGAUUUGAUACGUCCGCCGGGCAGUGAGGCCGGAGACCGACGUCGCCGACUCUCCCACGCCGGUGGUCGCUUGCGGUGUAUUCCCGCCGCGGCCUUUCUUCUCCCUCCCGCUCGUUCGUGUGUUGUCCCGGUGAUCCGAUCGAUUACUGCAGCCUCUUCCGCCUCCUCCGGGUGCGUGUUCUUUCUGUUGGUUUCUUUCUUAUAUCUCUCGUAAAUAAACCAUCUUUUUCUGAUUUGAAAUGAAUUCGUGCUUUCGCCUUUUUGGAUCUGAGGUAGCUCGUGGUAAUCUUCCCUUUAAAACAAAUGAAAAGGAAAGAAAUUACGGCUCUUGUUUAUUUGGUAUUGUUCCCCUUAAAGAAGAUCGAUCAGAAACUUUCUAGUUCAUGUGAUCUAUUGGUUGUAAAUUAGCCCACAAAUUUGUGCUUGUAUGCACGAAUGACGUUGCGAAUCACCGACUCAUCUAAUUUAAGUCUCUUUUAUAUGUUUUUCCAUUUAUUUCUUCGUCCUAUUUCAAAUAUUUGAAGCAGUCGAUGGGCCCUCAAAUUGUUGCAAGUCUCCUACACUGCCCUAUGCGUGUUCUGUUGCUUUCAAUUCUAUUGCCAUGAUUCCUUCGGGCUAUUAUUUUAAUCCACUGACGCCAAGAUUCCACGGAAUCGAUGUGCAAGCGAUUGUUAACCUCAAUAUGUUUUUUGCACCUUGAUUGCUGCAUAUUUGACCUCAAUGUAUGCGUAGUUUGAUUGAUGCCUUUUACUCGCUUCGCCUUCGUAUAUCUCUUACUGAUCUUUUCUGAUCAGAAAAGAAUCACAGUUUUGUUUGUUUUAGGAAUUUUAUCCUGUCAACAAGAUGAUUUUGUUUGUAUCCUCUGUGUGCUUCCGAUCACAGAGCUGUAGAUCAGUCUUCAAUUGACCCAUUUUAAUUUUACCGCCAUGUAAACUUUGUCUUCAUGUGUCUGCAACCAUUUCAUGGUUUAGUUUUAUAUUAGUAUUUUAUGCUUCGGUUUCCCAUGUCAUUGUCUGAUGGCAUCACAUGAGUUCCACAGUCUGCAACAGUAACAAAUUCCAUUUCCUUCCACACUUCUUGUAUGGCUAUGACAACUAACAAAGUUUCCCUCCACACUUUUGGUGUGCUUUUUACCUUCCCACUAUGAUCUCCAACCGGAUGCCUCAACAUAUAUCUUUUUCUUUUGCAGCAAAAGAAGUGUUUUUGCAGGCUUGGAACAGGAGCAUAACAGGAUGCCUGGGUCAUCACAAAGGAAUGCUGUUAAUGAGAGUAACAGCCCGAUCGCAAGAUCACUUGGUAUCCGCCUGAGCUUAGAUUCACCUAGUCAAAGGAUUUUCUCGAGGACAGCAUCGUUGGGCAGGAUCGCUGGCACAAGUUACUGGCAUCUUGGAUCUAUCAGGCCCAACCUCAUAGUUGAAGGAAUUCCAACUGACACCACUAGACCAGCAGCAGCUGGUGACGAUCAAGCAGUCGGUGUUGAGAUGGCUGGAAAUGGUCUCAGACAAGGUUCACUAAGCAGAAUGAGUAGUAGGGAAUCUUGGCAGAGGUGUUCAAUUAGUUUUUCUAGUGAUCAUGGAACUAUUGAUAAUCUGGCACUUCCACAGGAACUAACAGAUAGGAUAGAUAGUUCACUUGCACAAGUAGGAUGCAGAGGGAGUCGACUGGAUGAUAAAGAACAUGAGGACGGAGUUGUGAAAUUUGCUGAUGAUUCUCUAAUACUAUCAUUUAAUUCCUGGUCAUAUGAAGCAAACUUGCCAUCAGUUGUGACUCCAUUAACUGAGGAAAUUGUGUCUCCUCUUCCAACUGAUUCCAUCUUGUCUGGAAAGGGAAAGAGUCAUAUGACAGGUAUUGCAUCACCAAAGGUGAGCUUCACAUAUGAUUAAAUUUUAAUUUAGAAGGAAGAAAAUUACUUUCUUGAUAUUGUAUGUUUUCUUGCAGGAUAAGCAAUACAAGCUUCCAUUUUGGCUGGACUAUAUUUCUUACUUGAGUCACUUGGCUGUCUUUGGAAUUCUUGGGGUAAAACUUUGAACUUCUUUUCCAAUGUCUACAAAGAGUGUAUAGCAGAGUUUAGUAACUGAGGCUAAGAUUUUGUUAUAGUUCCAUUAUCUACUAUAAUCCUUGUCUGCACUUAUUCUGUGAUUAUUGUAUCUCCUUUUUUUAUUAUUCCAUUAUUUGUUUAGUGAGAUUUCUUGGCUACAAAUACAUUAUUCAUUUCAAAAAAAUUUCUCUUUUUGUAGCAAUGAUUAAGCCAGUUGAGGACUGUAAAGAUUUAGCAUAUGAUAAAUCCUCGCUUUUUUUUUGUUAAAUUAGACUGAUAUUUUGUAGUUUGAAUAUAGAAAACAGUGCAAAAGAAUUUCUUUCUAACAAAGUUAAUGGGAACUAAAAUAGAAAAGAUUUGCAUAUGCUGUUCAAAUCCAAAUGAAAAAGAAAGAUACUGCAUCAAUCAUUCUAGAAAGGUUGUGCAAAGGAAUUGGCUGUCAUAUUUAUUGGUGAGAAAUUGUUAGGAUAAAGUAGUUUAUGCUUGAUGAGCUGUAGUAUCUCUAAAUCUCAGCAUGAACUUGUGUUUUUCUGUGCAACUUCCUUCCUAGACCAGUUUUCUUUGGUUGGAUUAAUCUAGGGGACUUCAUUAUUAAGUUAAUCUCCUCGGCCUGUAGUCAAUUUAUACGGAAGUGGAUUCACUUUUUUUAUUAUGGGAAAGGAAUUCCUUACGUUUGCUUGGACAUCAAGGACUCAUUUGGGAUAACAAGAUUCAAACUCAAAACAAUUACCCAGGAACCUCAAAAUGAAGAGCUUAGGAAACUAAGUUGACUUGUUAGAUUUUUUUUGGAUUCAGAAAAAAAAUACAAGAAUGUUUUGAGUUGAGAGAGAUGAUUAAAAACAUAUAUACAGAGCCAAAAGCAAUCCGUUGUGAUGAUAGAAGUGUGUGAUUCUGCAUUUGAAUUUUUCUCUAUUGCUAUAUCUGUCAAAAAAGAAAAACUUUAGACCUUCUAAAGAAAAUUUUGGCCAUUUAACUUUUCAAUUUUCUUGUUUCUUGAAGUUAUAUUUGAUUGUUAAACAAUGGAAAAGAAUAUUUGUCUGACUUCUUUCUCCUGUGGAUAAAAGUUAAACAUAUUUAUGAGCAUGUGAUACUUUUCUGGCAACAUUAGAAUAGGUGCUGUCUGAUGUGAUUUGAAAGGCGUCCGUGUCACAUAUUUUGUUCUUCUCUACAAUAGAUUGGUUUGACAGAUUUCACUUUUCUAAAUAACGAUUUCACAUAUUCCAUUUUUUUUAAUAAUUUGUUAAUCUUGUAAUAGCAUUGAAUGGAGUGAAACAAAAUUGGACUUUGCUACUAUCCACUAGAUGAUGAAAAAUAUUAUUAUGACACAGGAGUAAGCUUUUAGCAUUCUCUUAUCUCUUCUAUGUUCUCUUGUCCUGGACUGUUUAGAGUUACUAUAGUACCUAUUACUCCAUUUAAGAACCACAUAAUUACUGGGAGAAGAGAAAUGAUUAGUGUAAAGCUAGUCAGCAUUGAUCAUAUAUAAUAUAGCCAAAAUGAAUAAAUUAGGCCUCCUGUUCUUUUAACAAAUUAGGCUACUGAAGCAGCUCACUGGGAGUUAAUUAGUUAGAAUAUGCAUCCAAGUGUGCUACCAUGAUUGUUUAGGGGAAAACUUUCAUCCUGUUGCCACAGGAAUCACUUCUGUUAUCAGUUUUGAAGAAUGAUUGACAAUGUUAACAAACUGUAUCUAUCAAAAUAAGUACCUGCUUUCUUCUUUGUUUAAAUUUCUGUCAGUGCAACAAGAAUUAAGUGAAUGUCCCUUCAUCAUAUAGGUAUAUACAAGAUACUUACUGCAGAAGCUCUUUGGUCCUGACCUCUUGCGUCUCACAGGGGAUAGCCCGUUGUACCUUGAUCUUCCCUCCAAUAUGGUUUUUUCUCUUUUCUUUCUUCAUGUUUGAUAAAGUAAAGUUUGUUUCUCCGUUCACUGAUGCAAUUCAGAAUGUGCUUUCUAACAGAUAGGUUCCUUCCUGAUGGGGUGGAUUGGAUUUGUCUUCAAGGCUGACAUCCUUCACGUAUCUGAACAUUUGCUGGUAGGAUUAAGUACAGGGUACUUGGGCAGUCUCACCACACUCAGUGGAUGGAACCAGAAGAUGCUUGAGUCGUCUUCCAAGGGCCAUUGGGUGCAUACUGUUGCUGGCCUGAUACUUGGUAAGAUAACAUAGUUUGAAGACAGGUUAGCUUAUAAUUUGCGGAGGAUUUAUUGGUUGUCACUUGCUUGCACAGUUUUUUUUCUUAUCUUCCUACCCAUCUAUAGGGAUUUUCCUUGUCAACUAUAGUAUCAUUGUUGGGGUUGGAUGUGCUGGAGGACUCCGCAGAGGCAUUAUUGCUUGGUGUGACAAGAGAAAUACCAAUCUGGAAAAAUGGAGGGUGAAUAACCGCAAUAAACAUGUGGUUGUGAUGGCCGCUGUUCUACUGAUAUGGUGCUUGUUAUGGACUCUGAGUGGAGAAUUCUUUAGGGUUAAGUUGAACAGAGUCAGUAAUUCUGCUGUUCCUUGGCUAGCUUUCUUGGUGGGUCCCCCAGGUGUGUGGCUCCGAUGGCGCUUGGCUAGGCUUAAUGGACGAGGUAUAGGAAGCAAGCGAAUGCUCAAAUGGCUACCAAUUGGAACUCUGUUGGCCAAUGUACUUGCAGCAACCAUUUCGGCUGCAGCUGCUAUUAUAAGCAAAGCGGUAAGCAUCCGGUGCAAAAUUCAUGGUCAAUCUUGAACUUAUAUUUUGCUGUUCUUCACUAAUAUUACUUUGAACUGACAAUUUAGAAACAAAUUGCACCUGCUAGAGGGGAGUUGCUUCCUGCAAGUUUUUUUUAUAUUGUCAUAAUUUAGGGUCUGAUAGAUCCCCACACAAUGGCAAGGAACACUCACACAAAAUCACAGAUCUGCAUCUGCAUUCAUACAUGCAUCUACUCACAAUCUUUUAGGUUUCCUUUGAGCAAGCAAAUGUGUUUUUUUCUUGUCUUUAUUGUGUGGGUGAUGUUUUGCACUAAUUAAUAUGUUGUUUUGUUCAGGUAAACACAGAGAAAUGUGCAAUCAUUGUCAGUGGAUUUCAAUUAGGCUUUCCUGGCUGCUUGAGCACAGUUUCUACUUUUGCUGCUGAGAUAUAUGGUAUGUGGAAGACUGGACAUGGCUGGAGAGCCUUCUUCUACAUCAGUAUUACCAUCUUUCCAUCUUUUGCACUGGGAACUCUUGUAUUCUCAGUUCCUAUAUGGAUUAAGCAUUAUGAAUAAUAAUUCAUACUAGCAUUAUAAAUAGUAAUUCAUAUUGCAAUCUCAGGUUAAAGAAUGGCUGUAGCUGCUUAUUCAUCAUUCUUGUCUUGGUGUAAAGAGUAACAAGGCUUGACUUAUUCUACCAAUUAAGGUUUAAGAAUAAUAAGGCUGACUUAAUAAAACAUGACCUUCAUGGAUUUGAAUUCAGGAAACAGCCUCUCUAUUCUACAGCCCUGAAGUAUCUAGCACCAGUAGUACCUCAGACCUCGAAAUGAAGGAAGCCUCAUACACUGUGACACCCUUUUCUUUUGCUUGAAAGGUGGAUGAGAAAUCACAUAACAUCACAGCAAUCUUUGAUCUUUCUCUAAGUAUACUCUGGCUGUAUUAAAUUCUGGGAUUGUUUCAAUUCAACCAGUUACUUACACUGCCAUAUGUGGGGAUCAAUAAAUUUCAUUUUAUACCUCCACAUGAACUGUUCUACUGUUUGUUUUUUGAAAUAUCAUCAUCCCUUUUGUGUCGGGAGAUUUCAAGCAUGUGUGACCUUAACUGAAAUUGACACUUCGAUUUUGUCAGCCUGCAAUAAAUGAGAUAUAUACUCCUUCAACUUAAAAAAAUUUAUAUUAUAAUCUUUAUAAUUAUGAAAGUAAAAUAUUUAGAUCUAUUUAUCCUAAUAUCAUUUAUUUUAUCAAUAAAAAUAUAAAAAUAAUAGAUAAAAAUUAAUUUUAAUGUUCCAAUUAGCGUUGAUAGAUGGUGUCGGUGGUUGCGGAGGACAGCAUCGUUGGGGGUUAUGGGUGGCUACUGUGGAUGAGGAGAGUAGUGGCCAAAGAGAAAGGUCACUCUACAUUUGCGUGGACGCCAACGCAGUUGGCAAAUGGUGAAAGAGCCACUAAUGCAAUGUAAAAGGCCUCUCGACAACGAUGUAGAGGCAAAGUGGCGAAAGGGCCUCUUAUUGCAUCAAUGUCGACGUAGUUAUCGAGCGACGAAAUGGUCACUUAGCAUCUACAUUGGCAUUGGCAAUGACAAAUGCAGAUGCCAUCGCUCGAUAUCUAUAUCAGUAUCAAUGUAGAUGCAGAACGACAUCGCUAUGCAUAUGUAUCGACGUCGAUACAAAUGCGGCAACUGCGUUGAGAGCGACCCUCAUCUCUGACUACUGCUCUCCUUAUCCACAACAACCAUCCGUGACCCACAACAGCGUUGUUGUUCACAAUCAUCUGCCACCAUUAAUUGAAAUAUUGAAAUUAAUUUUUUGCUCAUUGUUUUCGUGUUUCUAUUAGUAAAAUCAACGAUGUUAUGGUAAAUAAAUGUAGAUAUUUUACUCUCAUAACUAUAGAAAUUUUAAUAUAAAUUUUUUUAAGCUUAGGGAGCAUGAUGCUAAGGAGGUCUAAAUACAUUGAGUAAUCUGUAAUUAGCUAUGGGCAAUGGCGUUGCUUCACUUGUCGCACGUAGCGAUGUUGCAUAACCAUCGUAGGGCUGUCACACCUCAUAAUGCUUGUAUUGGAUAUGCAACCAUUGCUUGUGAUUGGGUUGGUGACCACCGAAGGUCACCGCUCUUAACAAUAUUAUCAUCAACAAUGAUCGAUCGAUAAAACACGAGGAACCUCACAUUACCCGCAAGCAGGUAAUAAGAUGGACUAGAUAAAAAAGUAGAUCAGCAAUACAGAUGAAAUGUUCAUACAUCGUAAAUAAAAAUCAAAUAACAACUUUUUGAUGCUACCAAAUAGAUAUAAAAUAUUUGAUUUUAGACUCUAAUACCAAUUAUGCGUAUAAAAAUCAUCCUUAUGCUUUUAUUAUGUGAAAAACUUUAAUGUCAGAAUCUAAAAUCAAAUAAUAAUAGAUCCAUUUUACGAUGAGCACCUUUCAAUGUCAUUCGGAAAACUUUUAUCUGAUAUGUGAAUGCAUCAUAGUUAGAUCCGAAAGCAAUAGUGAUGCGAAUUUGUAAGGAAAACUAGACUCAUAUUCUCCUCUCUUCCUAUCAUUCACAAGAUUGUUAUGAGCGAUAAAUUUAGAGAUAAAUAGGAGAUGAGAGAAGAUAUGUAAUCUCACAUUGAAUAGUUCGGAGAGAUGAGAGAAGAUCUAUAAUCUUUCGUUAACUGGUUUACGUGACUAUGAGAGAAGAUCUGUACUCUCAGUAAUGUCACAUAUCCUUAUCUUCUCUUAUCUGUAUAUCCAUAUAUCCACAUCCAUACUAAGUCCUUAGGAGGUCAAUAAUAAGUAUGAGAAUCUUUCCCAUCAAAGUUAUCUCGUAAGGAAUUCUAUUAUAAUUAAAUAUUUUUUUUCUAUUGAUCAAUAAUCAGAAUCUAAUCAUAUAUAUAAUAUAUCUUACCUAAUUAAAUAAGAUAAUAUAAUAUGUCAUAAAAUCUAACAGGCAAAAGAGUGGUCCAUCUACAAUAAUCACCAAACACGAUGAAUGGUAGAUACCUCGAACAAGUCACGACAAGGCCUUGAGGAUCCCAAACCACGAUGUGAUUCGACACCUUGAAUUGUGACCCUAGAUCAAGCUAAGUCUAUUAAUGGAGUUUAAGCAAAUACACUAGUAGAGAAGAAAUAAACUUAAAAGAGAAUUUUUCCUAACAACCAGCGAGUAAAUCAGGAACAGGCUACCUUUGAACUGAGAAGAUGCUAGGGAGGAUCAGACCCUCGCCCGUUCUCCACCACACCAUGAGGCCUGGUUGAUAACACGAGUUGUUUGCCAUUCCUUUCCAAGGUUAAAUAUGGGUUAAAGACUGAUAGCACACCACUACUACGAGGGACAAAAUAAAAGAUUCUCUAAAAAGAGAGCUAAAGAAUGCUUGAAUUUAUUGGCAGGGAAGUAGAUUGAGACAAGAUGAUAUAUCUUAGACAAUCUACGAGCUUGGUUCGAGGCAUAUGUGGGCCCGAGGGCAUCAGCCCACAGACUCCCCCAUUCUUCAAUUUUUAUUUUCUUCAAUAUAUAUAUAUAUAUGGAAGCAUGAUUUGCUUCCAUAAUCCGACUACUUUGCCUCCAUGCUUCAUCUACAGAAACCAGAACUCAAGUGGUUUCACAUGCAGUUAGUGUUUAGCUUGUAAAUACAUCUUUUUAUCAACUUUGCAUGACCGAAUGGAAACCAAAACUCUUGAGAUUCCACCAAGGUACGACUCAAUGACCAGAACUGCCGAUCAGCUGAAUUCUGCAUCAUUUUAUCUGCAAUUAUCUGUCCUUUCAAUUGAAUAGCAACAAGUAAAUUUGCAGAAGAGGAAAGUUUACCAUUCGGCAUGAAAGACACCAAUCUUUACAGCAAGCUUUGAGUUGACGAUCCACGGAGGAACGUCAUAACACCUCAUCCUUGAGAUAGCUGCAACCAUUUAAACAUGGCAACAGGCAUAGGAAAUUUAUAGAGAACUUACAUAAAGAAAUGCAUGCUCACGAUAAAGAUGUCAAUUAAAUAUGCUGAGCCACUUAAAGGUGUUAGCAUACUCUAUCAUUAUCACAGUGCAGUAAUAAGCAGAGUGUCUGAUGGCAUAGCAUAAAUAGUAUAUGUUUUUAUUGAAUCUUCCCUUCUGGCCAUAAAUGAGAACAUUACCGAUGAAUUCAAUGGAGGUGUGACUAUAUUACAAAAAUGUGACAUGCUCCUUCGAGGAAAUUAGUCAUCCUUCAUUGAACAAAAGGAGUGAACUGUCUGGUCACAGAACAAAUAUCAUUCCAAAGGAUGAGCAGGAUAUGAGCAGCCUAUAAACUUCUAUAGUCUAUAACAGUCACUUCAUCUUCUGGAGCAUCAAGAUCUUGAUAACUGCAAAUCAAAGAUGACCAGUUAAAAACACAUCGACAAGAUAGACAGAAUCCAGCAGCACAUAAUGGUGGCACGACCACGAAAACUAAAUCAUGUCCAAAAGUUCAGAAAUAACAAAGUGCAAAAGUACAUUAGUUCUAGUAAAAAACAUACAAACUGAUGCAAGAAUGGCACAGACCUUCUUAUGCGACGAGGAUCAUGUCGAAAUGCUGGCGGCAUAGCAAGAACUGGCGCUGAACCACUCACUUGCGGACCAAGCCUUCCUUUGAUACCCCGACGGCCACCAGUAGCUUCAAACGAUGAUGGUCCACUAGUGUCCCUCAACAUACGCAUGGCAACCUCUGGUGGGGCAGGGACAAAAGGUCCCAACGGGCUAAUAUGUAAUAAUUAAAUUUUAGACAAGAUUAAUAGAGGUAAUAAUUCGAUUUGAACUCUGGGAACCACCGACUCACCCAGCACCAGGAACAGGCAUUAACACUGGUGGAGGAGGAAUAUCUGAGGGAAAAGCACCAUGCAAGCCUUGUCCACCAUAAGCAUCAUACAGAGGUUUGUCAUGAUUCUCCACUUCGGAUCCAUCAUUGGCAUCACGAGGUGAGUUGUCAGUCCUAUCAUGCCGGUCAUCAUCUCCAUCGUUCCUGUUGGGCUCUCUGCGGUUGCCACGUUCAUCUCUAAGGCGGCCGUCUAACAGUCGUUUCUUCUGCAUUUUCACCUUCUGCACAUGGAAAGUGUAACUAAUAAAAUAAUAAAUUUCAAGAUCACAGAAUCACAUAUUUGAAAGUUCAUAUCCAAGUGAUUGUUUAUGUAUAAGAAUGCAAUAUUAAUCUAAAGUAGAAGAAGUUUCUAUAAAAGAACAUCAAAAUUAAAAGUUAAAAAAAUGGAUCAAAUAAAAUUUUAAACAGAAGAACCAAAUUAAAUCCAAUUAAACAAUUCACAUCCCUAGUCCUCCCUUAAAAGCACUUUUGCACAAAACAAAUUUCCAAUAAGUUCAUUAAAUUAUAAAACAAAUUUCUGCAAUUUCAGCUACAUGACAAGUUUUAGACAAAAUGAGUGUACAAUAAGACGAAAUAUUGUUAGACAAUACGGAUAUACCAAUGACUAAAAUUAGAAUACACAUCAAAUCCAGAGCCUUAACUAGCAUUAGAUAGACAUCAGUUCCCAACAAAGAUCACCAAAACUGUUGCAUAUUUUUUUAAUUGCUCUUUUUAGUUUAUCGAUUUUCUGUUUCUAUAACUAGUUGCUAAGAUAGUUUACAAAUUUAUGCAUGCUGAGAUGUCCAACGGGAGUAAACCCAUCUCACAAACUUCCAUAUUCCAGAGAUUUAUAAAAUAAUAUUGGAAGGAAAGAACCACUCAUUCAAACAUCAGGCAACUUAGAGAAUAAUCAAAGAAAUAUUAGACCAACCUCUUGCCUCCUCUUUUACCUAUCAUUAUCAUCAAUCAGCAUUUUCAGCUUAUAUCAACAUGUUUAGAUAAAUCCAUUUGCAUAAAGGUACAAUUUUACAAAUCGGGACAAUGGAAGGAGUUUAAUUAAUUAUUGUUCCAUUGCAUUCUUUAACUAUUCCUUAUUGAUUUCUUAUUUUAUUUUAAUUUUUUUAUAAUAACUCUAUGGAUGAAACCUCUUUCUCAUCAUUUUUUUUUAAUUGAUUGACACCAACAAUUAAAACCUUGACUAGAAAGUUGUAAAUGUGCUUUGGGUUCAAAGUAAAAGCAGGGUCUGCAGUACCGAACUGUACCGCUCGGUAUGGGCGGUACGUACCGGUCCGACCGGUUGCCGGUACGCGGACCACCUGUUACCGGUCCGAGUGCACCGUAACACUGUAGCAGUGCUACAGUACUCGACACACCUGGGUGUACCGCUCGGUAUACCGUACCAUACCGGUACCGAGCCCAGGUCGAAAUACCGGUACGGUACGAUAUUGCGAACCUUUAGUAAAAGAACACAAAAGUGAAAAAAAUAAUACAACAUAAUCACAAGGCAAAAACAAUAUGCUUAACACUACAGAAAGAAGUCAUACUGAUGCAGAUUGCUGCAUGACAGGAGUCCCACCAGGUGCAUUUGGAUCACUGCAUUAGAAAGAAGUCAGUGGUUCUCUCAAUGUAGCCACUAAUUUUGGGACACCAGAUAUGCUAAAUUCUUACUUCAUAUAAUUCUGAAAAUACAGAUCUUCUCGAACUUUUGAGGUGAGCUCCAUUACGAGGUCUAGGUGUUUCAGCCUGAGAUGCUUAUGAACAAACUCAGGAGCGUGGAAAAGCUUUGUGCAACCCUUUGCUCCACAUCCGUACUUCCAACCAUAUUUUUCAUCUCGUAUUUUCCUCACAAGAGGAUCUAGAGCCUCGGUAGCUGCUGCAUCAAUCUUAUCUUUGGCUGUCAAUGUUUCCAAGGGAUCCUGACCUUCCAGUCUUGCUUGCCAGAAUGAAUCAAGUUUCUUCUCCCAAUCAGAUCCACUAGCAUCAGUUCCAUCAUGUGUCUUAUUGUCAGCUCUAACAUGCCGAAGACCCUUGGCUUCAGAUGACUCAGACAUGCCGUAGUAAUCCAAGCCAUGGACACGCCACAGGUAGGUAAUCAAAGUAUCUAACAGUUCGACACCUUCAAGGCCCUUGAUAGCAUUCAGGCCACGUAUAAUUACAAUUGGCCCCAUGGAGCCUCCAUGAGACUUCUCCACUUCCAACUUACCAUGACCACUACUGGAAAGGACAUUGUCCUCAAUACCCUUCUCCAUGUCAAGCUUACGGACCAAGGCUUGUGCUUGUUCAAUGUCAACUUGAAUUCGUCGAGGUUCAGAACUAACUGGGUGAACCUUGGGAGUGGCAGAAAGCAGAUCAUUUUCUUUCUCUGUCCCCCUACCAUGCCUUCUCCUUUUGCCACCAGGGCCCGCCUCAUCUUCAGAGUUUGGUUCACUACCAUUCCCAGACUUGCUAGCUGAAGAAGAUGUUAAUCCUGGUCCACUGAUGAUACGAGCAGGGAAAACGCAAGUCAAGGGAACAUAAACCUUAGGAAAGCCCAUAUGAGGUCUAAGAAGAAACUCUUACAGGUCAAGUGUCCCACUCUGUAAAUCAAGCAAGAAUUCCUUUGCAAGAGUCCUGGCCUGUUCUUUCCUCCUGUGAAGCAUGCAACACAUAAUGAUAGCACUAGAAGUGUGAAGAUAAUAAUCUAAUGAAGAAGCACAAAUAUAAAAAUGAAACCAAACUAGCCUGACCAUAUGAAGAAGAGACAAACAAUAAAGCUUGUCUGGUUGAAACAGGGAAAAAGGGAGGAAAUCCUCAAGUAAAAGACAGUGAAAAUCAUAUUCAACGUACAAUUACCAAUAGUCUUCUAAAAACAUGUCUAUGUUGUUGCAUACACUGAAACUCACCUUUCAAUGACUGCCACUAAGUUAGUUGGAUGAUAUUUGUCUUUCAACCUACACCAGGAGGCAGUCAUGUAAAAAGUUUUCAAUCAUAUUACAUAACUUCCAUAUGAAAAUAUAAUAAAAAAUGGAAUAAUGUAAGCACCAUGUACCAUUGUUUUUCUUUAUGAGCUUCAAAAUAAGCACGCUUCUGAGUGGAAAUGUAUUCCGAUCUGUAUUCUUCAUACCUACAUGAUCAAAACUUGGAUUGAACAUCCAUACUAGCUAAACAACUAGCAGAAUUGGCAAGUAUUCUAAUCCGAUACAAGUUAAGUGGCACGGUCAACAAUGCUUAUCACAAACUAACUCUUUGAAGUGAUACCUAGUAUCCCUAAUACAUGUACCUGUACUCAGCUUCAGUGGGUGAAAUAUCAUCUUCGAGUUCUUGAAUGAACUGCUUGUAUGUCAUCAAACCUCCCCUGCAAAAUGAUGAACAAGUAGAUAAAUGAGAAUUCCAGAAGUUAUGGAAUUUCAGCAAUUGUGUUGGAAUUUCAGCAAUUGAAACCCAAAACCACGAGAAAUCCAACACAGUCAUGUCAUCCAUGCUGCUAAAAUAAUACCAUCUUCUCAAUCGUAGAAAAGUUUAGCAAAGCUUCAUGUAACACUAUUUUGUUUUCACAUCAUACUUCUUAAAAAACAUAUGAUCCACAAGAGUAGACAAAGAAAAUCUAUUCUGAUGUUCCCUCAGACAAUGCAACAAUAUUUAACCUCUGUAUUAUCUGAUCUGGGACGAUCAAGCCAAGUUCAAGUCGAUCUCCAAUUCGACUCAACCAGGCUCAGCCAGAGUUCGAGUCAAAAUCCAAAUAGAAUCAUAGAUCCUAAUCCAACCGAACCAAGCUCACGAUCGAAUCCAAGCUCAAGGACUAGAACAAACAUAGUUUAAGCUUGACUCAUGUUCAGCUCAAACCAAGUUUCGAUCAAAGUCCAAUUCAGCUCAACCGAGUUCAAGUUGAAUUUUGAUUCAACUCCACUCUGGCUGAAUCCAAUGCAAGCCCAAUCUCAAGCUUCGAAUCAAGUUGUGACUAGACCAACAUCAGCUCCAAUUGUAGCACACCAUGCUCUAGAAUGGUGGAACACCUACGAUCCUACAACGAUGAAGAGGUGACAUGGGAACCCUUUAGAAGGCUCAUCCAUCACAACUUUUACCCGAUGGCCUAUCAUGAAUAUUAGUGGAAAAGAUGGCAUUACUUGCACCAAGGACAAGAACAAUCGAUGCAAGAUUACACCACCAAGUUCCGAUGACAAGCGGUGGCACUCGAGAUUUCUCUCAACAAGCACUCGACGGUCAUGAAAUAUAUUGCUGGUUUGCAUAUUCUAAUCAGUACCAAACUGAGCCUUUUCUAGGCGUAUGAUAUCUUGAGUGCUAGUGGGAUAGUCAUGGCAAUCGAAAGGAAGAAUAGAAUUGUAGCGAGAAGACUGUGAAGAAGGACAAAGGGGCCUAAUCGAAGGACAAGGAAAAUUCGAGGAACAAUAAGAAUUCUUCUUCUUCAUAGAGAAGUGACCUUUUCUAUGACCACUGUCACAUUAAGGAGCAAAGUUGGAAGGUUCACUCGGAACUCUUCCCAAAAAAUUGGAUAAAGAACGACCAAAGUUAAUGGAUAGCAACCACAACCGUUGCCAACGACUACAUCGAGCGUGCUGUCACGGACUUAGCUGGAAUUGCCUAAGUCAUGAGGCACCCUUGCGGCCAAGACACUAACUUAGCUUAAGUUGCCUAAGUCGCGAAGCGCCCUUGAGCCAACUUCUCGGACUUUAGCUAGGAUUGCCUAAGUCAUGACGCGCCCUUGCGAUAUGCAUCCGCAAAGGUCAGCCAAUUUGCAACCUCACUCGGGUCCCGAAGGACUUGUAAAAGAGAAAGUUGAUUAGUUCGAAGAACAAGCGACGAACAAGUCUCGACGUCUCGCGAAAGGGGAAGCUUUACAAGCAAUUCAGAAAGCACCUUGUGUGCAUAAGAGAAAAGAGAGAAAGGAGGAAAAAUAAGACUUUAGAAGGUUGAAUGAACAGUUGCAAGUUCACAAAUAGCUGCUCACCGGGUGCCGGGUGCGAAGACAAAUUCUCGUCAAGUUAACGUGCAAACUUGUAAAAGAUUGUUCAACGCUCGACACUAUACCGAAGCCCCAUCCCCCAUGGUGCCACCCGAGUGGUUCCAAGGUGCUGAGAUGGCUGACAUUUCGCAUGCAGCAGCAAGCUGCAGAAAACAGCCCGUGGCACGCGAAAACAGAGCCAUUUUGGGUUGUUUUGCUUGGUGCAAUGAGUGAUCGCACUGUAGCUCUGCAACUUGUUCGAACUUACAUUUUUUACAAGCAAAAGAACAUAAAACCAAGCCAAAACAUGCUGUCAAGCAUCUGUACAUGUAAACAAAAGCGACGAACGAUUCAUUGAACGAAGUUGUUGUGAGUGCGCGACGACCGUUCGUGACAUUCUCCCCCACUUAAACUAUCGACGCCCUCGUCGACGCUUGUUGGUAGUUGUUGAUGAUUGCUUCUUCAUGUCGUAGGACGUCUUCGAGCUCCCAAGUGGCUUCGAUUUGGGGAAGCUUUCGCUACUUCACCAAGUACUCGGUCUGCUCAACUCUAGUGGGUAGCUUUAUCUUGCGAUCCGCUAAAAUGGUUUCCACUCGCUUCUCGUAGGAGGCUCUGGUGGGGGGUAGCCGAGUUGAAACACUUCGGGAAGCAUCUUGCGGAUCUGAGUAGUAGGCUUUCAAGUUGCUGGUGUGAAAAACAUUAUGAAUUUUGAGCCAUGCCGACAGCUGCAACUUGUAGGAGGCGUUGCCCACCCUACUGAUAAUUGGGAAGGGCCCUUCAUACUUGCGCACCAAUCCUUCGUGUACUUUGUUCCUAAAGAAUUGGAGUGAUGCUGGUUGGAGCUUUACCAACACCAAAUCGUCGACCUUGAACUCCUACAGUCGCUUUCCCAAGUCUGCCCACUUCUUCAUCCUUUUGGCCGCCCUCUCCAAGUAAGCCCGUGUAAUGUCUGCGUUUCGGUGCCACUCCUUUGCAAAGUGGUAGGCUAACGGACUACUCCUAGUAUACCCAAUUGCUAUAGUGUGAGGAGUUGAUGGUUGUUGUCCUGUAAUGAUCUCGAAGGGGCUCUUAUUGGACACAAAGCUCCGCUGCAAAUUGUAGGAGAAUUGGGCUAUGUCCAACAGCUUCACCCAAAUCUCAUUGGUUGGCACUCACGUAGUGCCGAAGAUAUUGCUCCAGAAGCGAGUUUAUCCUUUCGAUUUGGCCAUCCGUCUGGGGGUGGAGGCUUGUGGAGAAGUAUAACUUAGACCCUAACAAUUUGAAUAGCUUGGUCUAGAAUCGUCCUAGGAACCAAGCGUCUCGAUCACUGAUGAUAUUGUGCGGGACUCCCCAAUACUUCACCACAUUCUUCAUCAUCAGCUUGGCCGCCUCAUCAGCUAAAUAGUGUAGGGGUGCAGCAAUGAAGGUUACAUACUUUGAAAAUCGAUCGAUCACCAUGAGUAUCGAUCUGAGUCCCCUUACUGCCGGCAAGCUUGAUAUGAAGUCCAAGGAAAUGCUCUCCCACAACCUUUCUGGUACGGGCAACGGCUCCAAAAGUCCCACCGGCUUCCGCUGCUCCACCUUGUCUUGUUGGCAAGUGAGGCACGUUCGAACAUAUUCCUCCGCAUCAGUCCCCAUCUUCGGCCAGUAGAAGGCCCUCUCCACAAGAGCCAAGGUUCUGUGAAUACCCGGAUGUCCAACCCAAAGAGAAUCGUGACACUCUCUUAAGAGCUCACGCCUCAAAUUGUCCACUUGAGGAACAUAAACCCUAUUCCCUUUUGUGUACACGAGUCCCUCAUGGACCCAAAAUCGUCGUGUCUUGCCUUCUUUGAUGAGCUGCAUCAGGGUUACUGCCUGGGGAUCAUUGUAUAGUCCAUCCUUGAUCCUGGAAAUGAAGUUGGAGUGCAACUGACUUGCUUGGCCUCUGCCCUCCAACUGUACGGCAUUCACUCGCUCCACUUUCCGGCUUAAUGCAUCGACCACGACAUUUGCCUUUCCGGGCUUGUACUCCAUUGUCAUAUCAAACUCAGCAAGGAAGUCAUGUCAUCGUGCUUGCUUUGGGGAGAGUUUCUUCUUAGUUUGAAAAUAGCUCAAAGCGACGUUGUCUGUCCUCAGCACAAAUCGCGAUUCAAGAAGGUAGUGCCGCCAAACUUGUAGACAGUGGACCACAGCUGUCAUCUCCUUCUCAUGCACCGGAUACCGCCGCUCAAUCUCGUUGAGCUUACGACUCUCAUAGGCCACCUCCUGCAUGAGUACUCCCCCAAUAGCGAAGUCAGAAGCAUAUGUAUGGACUUCGAAGAGCUCCCCAUAGUUCGACAAUUUGAGCACCAGUUCUUCCAACACAACAGCCUUCAGAUCUUGGAAUGCAGCUUCACAUUUAUUAGAUCACCUCCAAGGCUACUCCUUCAGCAACUCCGUCAGUGGAGUUGCACGCUUCGAAUACCCCGCUAUGAAGCGUCGAUAGUAGUUGACGAAACCAAGGAAGGAUCUCAACUCCGGCACCUUCUUUGGAGUUCGCCAUUCCGCAACAGCUUGCACCUUCGAUUUGUCCAUCCGAAUGGAGACAUCACCAAUUCGAUGCCCCAAGAAUAUGAUAUUCGUUUGAACAAAAUAGCACUUCUCCCUUUUCACGAACAAAGUGUUCUCCUUGAGAACCUUGAAAAUUGUCCGAAGGUGCUCGACAUGCUCCUCGAGCGUUUAGUUGUAGACGACGAUAUCGUCCAAGUAGACGACCACAAACUUAUCCAAAUACUCCUUAAAUAGUUGGUUCAUAAGAGUGCAGAAUAUGGCCGGAGCAUUGGUUAAGCCGAAAGGCAUCACCAAGAACUCAAACGCUCCAUACCUGGUCACACAAGUAGUUUUCGCUUCGCCGCCUUCAGCAAUGCGCACCUGCCAGUACCCCGACCGGAGGUCAAGUUUGGAGAAAUACUUGGUUUUGCCCAAUUGGUCGAACAAGUCCACGAUGAGCGAGAUGGGAUACUUGUUCUUCACCGUCACUUUGUUGAGGGCUCGAUAAUCAAUGCAUAGUCGAAGGCUCUCAUCUUGUUUCUUUUGGAAGAGAACUGGAGUUCCGAAGCGUGCUUUAGAACUGCGGAUGAGACCACCGCUUAGCAGUUCACCUAACUGUUUUCUGAGCUCUGCCAACUCUGGAGAGGGCAUGCGGCAGGGUAGUCUCGCUGGAAGCUUCACUCCUGGCUCCAGCUCGAUGUGACGAUCCACGCCUCUGCAUGACGGUAAAGUCUUCGGCAACUCGGGUGGCAUAACGUCUGUGAACUCCUUCAGGACGUUCGUCACCAUAGCAGGUUCAUGAAUGGUCUUCUCGUCGAGUGGCUCUAUCUUCAUAGUAGCCACGAAUGUUAAUUCGUCUUUUCGUACCCAUUUCUUUAGUUGUAAUGUCGAUAUCUAUUGGGGUUCCCUGGCUCCUCUCCGAGAGACGGGAACCAUACAGGGGUCAUCGCCUCCCAUCAUACAUAGGGAGUUUAGGAACAACAUUGGCACUAACUUCGCCGCGUGCAUGAACUUCAUUCCAAGAAUCACUUGGAAGUCGUUCAGUGGCACCGCCAUCAUGUUUGUACUCCCGCUCCAUGUUCCGAUCUUGAUGGGAACUCCCUUUGCCAACCCGGAGAUUCGCUUGGCCUCUGAGUUCACCGCCUUCAUUCGACUUGGGUUCUUCUCCAAGAUCAGCCCAAGUCGCUUUGCUUCUUGGUCGGCAAUAAAGUUGUGGGUAGCACUCGUGUCCACCAUUGCACGGGUCGUUUGGCCAUUGAGCUUAAUGUCUACGUACAUCAGCUCGUUGCUUCCUGCUUUUUGUGGCCUUGCCUUCAUGUUCUCCCCCACUUGACCCCGCAUAACGUUCAACAAACACAUUUCUACUAUCCGAGGUCCUUGCGACUCCUUAUCGUCGCUGUUGGAUUCUGAACUGCUUGAACUGAGGGUGACGGCUUUGCCCUUGUCUGAUUUGAGGGGUGGAUGGAAACUGUUAAAGCAUUGAGUGUCUGUUUUUGUGGGCAUUCCCUCACCAUGUGCGGCCCUCCGCACAAGAAGCAUCCGCCAGUUUCGGAGCCUUGCCUUUAGAGCUCGGCCCUUUGUGGGAACUCUUCUUCCUUUGUUCGCCUUCGGGCUCCUUCCCUCGAGAAUAUUUUGAAGGGCAAUUUCCUGAAGAUUGUUUCCUUUUUCCCGGGUCCUCGGAGGAAACAAAGUCGGUGAGCCUUUCUACGACAGCAAUUGCCCCGAUCACAUCGGUGACAUUCCUUCGAUGCAGUUCUUGUUCAGCUCAUGGCUUCAAACCAUCGAGGAAGCUAAACAGCUUAUCCUUCUCGAACAUGUCCUGUAUGUCCAACAUUAGUGUAAAAAAUUACUUCACGUAAUCUCGGAUGGAAGUACUUUGGCGGAGUUGUCUUAGUUUCCUCCUUGCAACGAGCUCUGUGUUCUCAGGUAGAAAUUUGUUAGAACCCUUGCAGAUUCUAAACUUGGGGUUGAUCUCUUUAGAGGAUCGGCCUCCUUGGAACUCUAUAGGGGUUCCUCCCUCCAAGUUGCUGCUCAAAGGCUACAGAAAAGAUUCAUCUAUUGCUUAUGAAAAGAGAAGGAAUACAUGGCUAUUUAUAGGGCUUCUAAACCCUAACUCCUAAUAGGACUCCUACUUAAGACUCUUACUUCUAACCAACUCCUAGUCAAGACUCCUAUUCCCUUACAACUCCUAAUUCUUCUUUAAGAAAACACCUCUUACAUGAAUGUCCCUCUCAAUUAGGACUCUCCUAGCUAGAGUCCUAACAGAAUGUCCCUCUCAAUUAGGACUCUCCUAGCUAGAGUCCUAACAGUUUUACAUGAAUGUCCCUCUCAAUUAGGACUCUCCAAGCUAGAGUCCUAACAGACCCGCCCUCUUCAAAUCAGCCUUGUCCUCGAGGCUGAUGAUUCGUGAAUUCUGGGAAUUUGAUCUUCAAGUCGUCAUAGUUCUCCCAAGUGGCAUCUUCUAUUGGUAGUUCUCCCAAGUGGGUCAUCGUCGUCGAGUCACGAUCCGUCGAUCAAUAAUGACACUUGGCUGGGUCUGGAGUUCUCUUUGGGUAGUCAUAUUUGGUGGGUGGCUUUGGGCUGUCUCCAAGCACCUAUUUAAAACUUUCGUCUGGCCGUCGGUUUGUGGGUGAUAUGCCAUACUCCUUUUCAAUUUAGUACCCUGCAUAUGGAAUAACUUUGUCCAAAAUCUGCUCGUGAAGAUGCAAGUAGAAUUUAUCGUAAGCACAAUGCGUCCCUUAUAGUGUAAUUCUUUUGAGUCACAAUUGUAAUGAGCCAUGGGGCUUGGUGCUUCCUCCAAUUUUCUUAUAAUCUUACUAGUCUCUGAAUCUUCCUGCCAUUCUAUCUUAAUAUCCUUAAGAAAGUCGCUGGUCGGAAGUGAAACGGCCGAAACUUCAACUUGCUCGGGUAGCUGCGAAAGCGCAUCUGCAAGAACAUUCUCUUUCCCCUUUUUGUAAGUUAUUUCAUAAUCAAAUCCAAGAAGUUUUAUUACCCUUUUUUGUUGCUCAGGGGAUGAUAUUUUUCGCUCCAAAAAGUACUUGAGGCUUUUAUGGUCAAUUUUAAUUUGAAAUCGUCGGCCAAUCAAGUAGGGUCUCCACCUCGUUGCGGCGCGCACAAUGGCGAGCAUCUCCUUAUCAUAUGUUGACUUAUUUUGAUGGGAGGGAGAUAAUGCCAUGCUAGUGUAUACAAGUGGUCGACCAUCUUGCAUGAGAAUGACUCCAAUUUUGACUGCAGAUGCGUUGGCCUCAAUAACGAAGGGUUGGUUGAAAUCUAGUAGUGUUAGCACCGGCGUCGUUGUCAUGGCUGCCUUAAGUUUGUCGAAGGCAGCGGAGGCUCUGUCCGACCAUUGGAAGACAUCUUUUUUCAGUAAGAAAUUAAGUGGUGCACUGAUCUCUCCAUAGUUUUUCAUGAACUUGCAGUAGUAGCCUGUUAAACCCAGAAAGCCAUGUAGCAAUUUUAUGUUCCACGGGGUCAGCCAGUUUUGCAUUGCUCCAAUUUUGAAGUGGUCUACUGCCACACCUUCCUCUGAUAUGAUAUGCCCAAGAUAUUCCAUCUUCUUAUGAAGAAAGCAAAAAUUCAUAAUGGUUGUUGUGUGUUCAAAAGGUGGUUUUCGGUAUGUCUUCUUCGUAUACUCGUAUUUGAUGAUACCCGGAUCGAAGGUCCAGCUUUGUGAAGAUUUGUGCUCCCUUAGCAACUCAUCUACUAUUGGAAUAGGGUAUUUAUCCUUAAUGGUUAUGCCAUUGAGAGCUCGGUAAUCAACACAUAAUCGCCAUAUUCCAUCCUUCUUUCGUAUGAGGAGCACCGGUGAAGAGUAGGGGCUGCAACUUGGCCGAAUAACUCCUGUUUUGAGCAUCUCUUUUACAAUCCUUUCUAUUUCAUCCUUCUGGAGAUGUGGAUAUUGAUAUGGCCGAGUAUUUGCUGGAGGUUUUCCUGAAAGAAUCAUUAUAUAAUGAUCAUGCCGACGGGUAAGAGGUAGGUUGUACGGUUCGUCAAAUAUAUCUGAAAAUUCAGCAAGCAAAGGAAGUAGGUUUGGAUCUUCAAAUUAUAUUGGCUCUCCCUUAGUUUGCUGCUCAAGUUGUAUAAAAAAUCUGUUGCNNNNNNNNNNNNNNNNNNNNGGAAACCAGAACCUGUUGCAAUUCACGGGGAGAUCAAAGGAUGAUCCACGGUGGUGGAGAUGAUGGCGGAAUUCGGCGACGAUCUUUUAAGCAAUUGUGGGAAUUGCUUUGGGAGGUUGUGGAGGGCUGAUGGAUGGCAAUGGAAGGGCAGCGAGAUGCCAAAAACGCUGCUCUGAUACCAGGUGUUAGAACCCUUGCAGAUUCUAAACUUGGGGUUGAUCUCUUUAGAGGAUCGGCCUCCUUGGAACUCUAUAGGGGUUCCUCCCUCCAAGUUGCUGCUCAAAGGCUGCAGAAAAGAUUCAUCUAUUGCUUAUGAAAAGAGAAGGAAUACAUGGCUAUUUAUAGGGCUUCUAAACCCUAACUCCUAAUAGGACUCCUACUUAAGACUCUUACUUCUAACCAACUCCUAGUAGGACUCCUAGUCAAGACUCCUAUUCCCUUACAACUCCUAAUUCUUCUUUAAGAAAACACCUCUUACAUGAAUGUCCCUCUCAAUUAGGACUCUCCUAGCUAGAGUCCUAACAGAAUGUCCCUCUCAAUUAGGACUCUCCUAGCUAGAGUCCUAACAGUUUUACAUGAAUGUCCCUCUCAAUUAGGACUCUCCAAGCUAGAGUCCUAACAAAACUGAGUUCUCAACUCUCGCUUUAAGUCCUCCCAUGUGUCCACCCGACACCAACCUUGUUGAAUCUCUCCUCCCAGCGGGUUCGCCACCAAAGUUUUGCAUCUCCAUUCAAAUACAUGGUUGCUAUAGAAACUUUGGUUUCUUCAAAAUCAGGCCUCGUAGCUCGAAAGUAUUGUUCCAUGUCGAACAGGAAAUUCUCGAGCUCUUUAGCAUCUCUAGCACCUCCAUAACAAUGCGGCUCGGGUGCCCUUAAGUUUUGUAGCGGCGUAACGCAGGUGUUGCUUCCUCCCGCAUUCAGUGCUCGUCAGCAUGGUCACCCUGGAAGUGAGUUCCGCCACGACUUCUUGCAGAUGUUGUACGAAGUCUUUAGUGUCAUCUGACAGUCGAUCAACUAGGGCCUCAACCUUGUCGAUCCGGGAUUCAGCUUCUUCUUACGAGCUCUCUACCCCAAGAAGCUUUCGUUGGCCAUGGUAGAGUUCCUCCAAGCUCGCUUCAAGAACAUCCAAGCGGGUUUCCGCCGCUGUGAGUCUCUCCUUAUGACUCUUUUUCCUGGUUGGCGCUCCAGAUUGCGCCUCCUCCGCUCGUGGAGAGUAGCCAACUUCUCGCUCAUCAUGUUCGCUGCCGCACUCCUCCUGACCGGCUCCAACAGCAUGAGAGCGAGUAUGCACUUGUAGCCCACCUACGGCUGCUUGGGGCAAGGGUCCAGCUUGCCCCGGCUUGCUUGAUUCACCACGAUGCUUUGCCAUAGUGAAAUUACAAAAUUCCUUCGCUGCUCGCUCGAAUUGCUUGCCCGCUCUGAUACCACAAUGUCACGAACUUAGCUGGAAUUGCCUAAGUCGUGAGGCACCCUUGCGGCCAAGACGCGAACUUAGCUUGAGUUGCCUAAGUCGCGAAGCGCCCUUGCGCCAACUUCUCGGACUUAGCUAGGAUUGCCUAAGUCAUGACGCACCCUUGCAAUAUACGUCUGCAAAGGUCAGCAAAUUUGCAACCUCACUCAGGUCCUUCGGGACCUGUAAAAGAGAAAGUUGAUUAGUUCGAAGAACGAGCGACGGACAAGUCCCGACGCCUCGCGAAAUGGGAAGCUUUACAAGCAAUUCAGUGAGCACCUUGCGUGCACAAGAGAAAAGAGAGAAGGGAGGAAAACAAGGACUUUAGAAGGUUGAACGAAUAGCUGCAAGUCCACAAACAGCUACUCACCGAGUGUCGGGCACGAAGACAAGUUCCCAUCAAGUUAACGUGCGAACUUGUGAAAGAUUGUUCAACGCCCAACAAUAUAUCGAAGCCCCAUCCCCCAUGGUGCCACCCGGGUGGUUCCAAGGUGCUAAGAUGGCUGACAUUUCGCAUGCAGCAGCGGGCUGCAGCAAACAACCUGUGGCACCCGAAAACGAAGCCAUUUUGGGUUGUUUUGCUCGGUGUAGUGAGCAGUCGCACUGUAGCACUGCAACUUGUUCGAACUUACAUUUUUUACAAGCAAAAGAACAUAAAACCAAGCCAAAACAUGCUGCCAAGCAUCUGUACAUGUAAACAAAAGCGGCGAACGGUUCGUUGAACGAAGUUGUUACGGGUGCUCGACGACCGUUCGUGACAAUGCGUCGAUUGUUCAUGCAAAUCCGAGUAUAUCGAUGAUGGCAAGACCGAAGGUUAUACACUCGAGUCCAUCCCACAGUCUAAAAGUUCGAGAAGAACUCAUUCACCGUAAAGAUCUAGGUGAAACAAGAGGUCAUUAGCACUAUCUUCGAUCUCGGUGAGAUUGGUCCAAAAGCUCAACCUAGAGAUGACACCGCAUCCACACUCAUAUCCUACAAGUUGCUUACAUAAGAAUGUGGAGAUAAAGAUCGACCGGCAAUGCAAGAUUCGCUUUGCAAUAACCAUUCAAUAGAUCGACGAGGCGACAUACAAAGUAGUGUCUCAUGACAUAUGUUAAGUCAUCCUUGGAAAGCCCUACCUUUGGGAUUGAGAUGCUUAUUUCUGUCAAGCACAAAAGUGUCAACUCUAGAAGGAUGAAAGAAAGCUUCUCAUCACACGAGAUCCGAUUAAAUCAAUGGUGGACUUGGCACCCAAUGGCCAAGCAAAGAGGAUGAAAAACGCUGGACGAAAGCACAUGGCUCUGACUACAACAUGGGGAAAAUCAAAAUCCUCCAACUGACAAAAGAGGAGAAAUAGAGAGGGGCAACAACAAGCUUGCAACCUCAAGAAGUUGAAAAAUAAAACCCUUAGAUCGAUGGUGAUUGACAACAAGAACCCCACCAAGACAACACAAAAAGAUGGCAUAGUUAAACACGGCAACACCGACCAUGAUGAUAAGCCAAACGAAAUCCUCCAAUGGCCCAAACUCGCAGAUAGAGAGAAGAACCUCAAAAUCAUAUUCAUCAUGAGUUGAAUUGCCCAAUUGGGGGAUCCAUAAUCUAGGACAAUCAAGCUGAGUACUAGCUAAACUCCAAUUCAGCUCGACCGGGAUUCGAGUCGAUUUCAAAUCGAUCUUGAUCGAACCGAAGCAAGCUUAAGCUCAAAUUUGAGCUCACGGACCAAAUCAAACAUAGCUCAGACUACUCAAGUUUUGCUCAAACCAAGUUCCAAUCGAAGUCCAAUUCAACUCAACUAGAGUUCGAGUCAAACUCCAAGUUAAAUCCAAUCUGGCCGAACCCAAUGCAAGCCCAAUCUCAAGCUUCGGAUCAAGUUGUAGUCAGACCAACAUCAACUCCACUUGCAGCAAACCCAAUCUGAUGCCCACUCGAAUCAAGAGAAGGAUAUGCGAUCAACCUAGAGAACCAACCUUCCUCAAUCUGAUACCUAUUUCGAUUGAAGGACUUGCAUAGCCAAUAAGAGGGAGAACUAAGAGGCACUGGCCUGGAGAAAUGAGAAUCCUAUCCUAGUUGCCAAUAAGAGGGAGAGCUAAGGGACGUCGACCUGGAGAAGAGAGAGUCCUAUCUUGGGGGCGCUAGAGAACAGAGAGUCCUACCCUAGUUAAGAACUUGUGUUGCUAGAGUUUCAUGUUAUAAAAUAAUGGCUGAAUGUCCAUGCCAUAACAAAAUUAAUAAAAAAUUCUCUAAAAGAGAAAUACUCAUGAAAAAAACAUGAUAGGGAAUGACGGUAGACAUAAUUAAGCCAGCAAAAGGGAGCAUAACAAAGGAACAUGAACCAUAUUUAAUAAAAACAUGUGACAAAUUACAAACCUCUGAAUAACCUCGGAACCAUCACCAUAACCAUCAUAUCCUGAAUCAGGCAAAUCCAAUGAUUAUUAAUUAACAAAAGCAUAAGACUUUAAAGAAUGCUAUUAUACAUCAAAUAAUUAUUUUACAUCAUCAGGAUGGCAAUAUGCAUUACUAAAAGUAUCUUGACAUAACCAACUAAAUCAUUUUGCUUUAACUCAAGACAACGUUUAUUAAUUAACAAAACCAUAAGACUUUAAAGAAUGCUAAUACAUCAAAUAAUUAUUUUACAUCAUCAGAAUGGCAAUAUGCAUUACUAAAAGUAUCUUGACAUAACCAACUAAAUCAUUUUGCUUUAACUCAAGACAACUUUAACCAGUAACUACUUUAUUAUUUUGCUUCAGUACUUUUAACAAAGGCACAAGCAUGAGAACUGACAUUAAAAGAUCCUUCAAUAUGGCAAUCAUUUCCACCUAGAUUAGAUGAGUGGAUUGAUAAGGUUGCAAUCCAGGCAAUUUGGCACGUUACAUCAUCCACAUGGAUAAAAGCUGCAUCCUACUAAGAAAUUUGUUAGUAUGAUAACAUACAGCCCAGGAAGAAUGCUGGUCUCUUUGCAGUACAGACACAUGCCCACUAGAAAUUAGAUGCUUUCUUCCCCUCUGUUAGAAGGUAUUAUGUGAGAAAUUGUGGGAGAGAUCCUACCAUAUCGCACUAGGUUCCAACAUGGAAACCUCAUACUGACAUUGGCACUCCUCCAGUCAUCUUUCCUGUAAAUAGAUGGGACAACAUUCAGCAUUUAAAUGGUGGACUCUUCUCUCAUACUCACAACUCUUUCUACAACCCCCACCACAAGAUUGUCCAGAUCCCUUUCAAUGUUCUAGCAAUUUCAAAAGUCAUCCCCUGGCUGUAAGAACACACUUUGGCACACAAAAUAAGCAAAUAAAAUUGCAUUCAGCUCUGGACUACUAAUUCUUGUACAGUUGGAAUUUCCUCCCAGUUUUUUUAUAAAACAACCUUCUCAUUCACUAAUAUUGAAUGUCUAUCAAUGAGCGAGGGGGAGUCUGCUGUCUGAAAUUGAAAAUGCCUGCAAGUAACAGUCACAGGUAAACGCACAAAUGCAAGCAUAAUAGCAGGCGCAGCUAUUUGGACACCUGAAUGUAGAGUUGCUAGCUGCAAUUGCAACAAAGGUAGAGGAGGGGUCGGCCAAUGCCCAAAGGGGAAGGAGGUGAUAACUAUGCAGACUAAAGUGGUGGAAGAGUAGGUGUGUACAAAGGCAACACAUGAGAAAGGAUAUCCAAAACCAACUAUGACUUGCAAUAUAAGAUGCAAGAAAUAUGCAGAGUAUGCAUGAGUAAGAUAUCGAUAAUUAGCAAACUAGAACCUACAAGGUCAUCUCAGUAUGAAUUUCAUAUAUGCUGACAGAAGGACCUAUAUCACACAUAAGGAAUGAAGCACUUCUCUCAUUCAGGUCAGGUGUGCACGGAAUCAGGAAUUCUCACUAUGUAACUGGAAGAGUUUGCAAGCAUAGUAAUUUUCAGCGUAUCUCUGUAUCUGAACGAUUUUUAUAUUAAUUGAAGUCCACAAGCGGCUAGAAAGAGUGCUGACUUCACAAUUACCUGAUGGAUGAUUCAUAUAGCGACCGUGAGGCCUCUCAUCCCCAUACCCACCUCUGCUUCCUGAGCCACCUCGAUCGUACCCACCACCAUAAUCAUAACCAUACCUGGAAUUAUAAGCAAAUAGCAUCAACUUAACAGAGCCAUUAAACAGGCAAUCCCACUAUAGAUGAAAAAAAUUGUUCUCGCUGGAGUUCAUAUUUUGAUAUUGAAGGACCAGAUUUCUUGCCCACCUUCUGCCAUCCGGUCCAUAACCCCCUCUCGGGCUACCUCGGCGCCGCUCAUAUCCACCAUCAUCCCUCCUUGCUCGCUUAAAGGAUCCGGGGGGAGGGGAUCGGCGAGGAGGCGAAUGCCGUCGGUCACGGUACGGUGGCGGGCUACGACUACCCCUCCUGCGAUACUCCCGAUCCCUGUCGUCCCGCGGCUGCCCCAGCGGCGGGGGCGGGGGAAGCGACGGCGAGCGGGCCCUAUAUUCGUCCCUCUUCUCCGUCAUAUCCCUGUCCCGCCUCUUCGGAGGCCGGGCCGGCGAUGAGGGGGAUCCGCCGCCGUGGCUCUCCUGCCGCUGCGGCUGGAUAUCAAGGCCACGAUCAAGGGUUUCGGUGGGCAUAUCGAUGACGUCCGCCAUGAAGAUGGUGAUAGAAAAGAUCCAGAAACCGUAGCAAUCGAUCUGAGCGGUAACCCUAGAAAAAACGAGGGGGGAGGAGUUCGGGAUGAAAGAAAUGGUGGAGGAGAUUUAAGCCAAACUCGACACAUGCAUAUAUGACCCCUUAGGUUAUGAAUAUUACAAAUACACUCUUUUAAGUUUUAUAUAUAUAUAUAUAUAUAUAUAUAUAUAUAUAUAUAUAUCAAAUAGUUUUUAAUAUGCUUGAUUUUAUUUAGCUCACUUACCGUAUUUUUUUAAUAACACUAUAAUAUUUUUAUUAAUGUACUGAAAAUAUUUUUGAAGUAGAUUUUAUAAUAUUUUCAAAUAAUUUUUACAGUAUUUUCACCAAACUAUGGACCGUUGGCUCAUAGGGGUGUUUGUGGUGGGAAUAGUACAUUUGCACCACAGUGAGAGAUAUUUGAGGUAUUAUCUGAAACAGGAGAAUCGAAAAUUGAAAAUAGGUCAUCUUAUUAGGAAAAAAAAGGCAAAAAUGAGAACUUAAAUCAUUAAUAACGCUUGGCUUAAACCUGCUUCCACUGGAGAGCUUAAACAUGAAAAUUAAUCGGAUUUACUAAGUGGUAAUGUAACCGUAACAAUUAAUAAUGCUUAGCUUAAACCGGCCACUAGUGUGAGCAUGGCAGUAAUAUAUCAUUACUUUAACAUAAUUCUUUAUAUAUUACAUAAUUAAUGAACUAUUGUGAACAUCUUAAUGAGAAAGAUGUUUAACUAUUUCAUUUUUAUGUUCUUAAAUUCCAAAUUUGACAAGCAUAUACAAAUCCCACUUAAAUAUAAUCAUAAACGAGAUGCAACUUGUGAGUAAUUCUAUUAUUAUUAUUAUUUCCUAUGCUUUGAUGUUUAUGUUUGAGGAAGUUACCGAUAAACAAUAAAUAUACCGGGGGCUAAUUAAAAAUUAUUAUUAUCUCAUGUAUUUAAACCUUAUAGUAUCUCGGUAUUUAAACUUUAAAUUUUUUUUAUUAAAAUCUUUAUAAUUAUUAAAGUAAAAUAUUUAAUCAUAUUUACUAAAAUAUCGUUCAGCUUUACCGACGAAAGAGAUAGCAUGUGUAAAAAUGAUACGAAAAUGAUAGAUUAAAAAAAUAAUUUCAACGUCCUAGUUAUGUUUUAUUUUGUUAUGCCCUAAUUAAAACUUCUUAGUUAAUUAUUGUGAUAAUGGUGGACGACGAUGCUGCCAAGGGUCGUGGGUAAUUAUUGUGGUGAUAGUUGAUCUUGUUGAUAUUGAUUCGAAUAUCAAUGAUCAAAGCGAGAGCAGUGAGACAGUUUGAUGAUGAUAGUGGUGGAUCUUAGGAAUAUGAGAAAGAAGAUGAAAGAGAGCGAUAACGAGAGAUAAGACAAACAGAGAGGAGAAAAAGGAUAAGGUUGAUAAUGUCACAAGAGAUAGCAUCGGCAUGACUAUUGUCCUCAUGACAUUAUCAUCACACAAGAGAGGGGGAGGAAGAGGAGGGUGAGCAGCAACAAUGCUAUCUCUGGCUUUUGUAGUUUUUUACGGGGGGAGGAGGAGGAAAGGGAGAGAGAUUGCGAUAACAUUAUCUCCAACUUCAACAGUUUCUUACGAGGGGUGUAUGAGGAAGAGGAAGGAGAGUGAUAACGAGAAAAGAGGUAAAGGAAGAGGAGAUAGCUACUCUCCCUCCUCUUCUUCCUCCCACCACAAGAGGAGGGAGAGUGAUUAUGGGAGAUGAGGUAAAGAGAAAGGAGGAAGAGAAUUAGGAUGAUAGUGUCACAAGAGAUAGUAUUAGUGUAAUCAUCAUCCUUGUGACAUUAUCAUCCCACAGAUGGAGGAGGAGGAAGAGGAGGGACUGCAACGACAACACUAUCUCCAGCUUUUAUGGCUUCUUGCGAAAGGAAGAGGAGGUAGAGUAGCUAUCUUCUCUCUCUUUGUCUCACCUCCCGUCAUCGCUCUCCCUAUUCUUCCUCUUCCUCUCCCGACAAAAAAUUGCAGAAGCCGAAGGUAGCAUCGUCGUCGCUCUCUCUCCUCUUGUUGGGCAAGGAGGAAGAGCUGCUAUCUUCUCUCCCUUUGCCUCACCUCUCGUUGUCGCUCUCCAUCAUCUUCUUUCUCCUCCCCUCGCAAAAAGCUACAAAAGCCAAAGAUAGCAUCUCCAUUGCUCUCCCUCCUCUUGCGAGGGUAGGAGGAAGAGAAGGGAGAGCAGUUGUCUCAUCUCCUUUUGCCUUACCUCUCGCCAUCACUCUCUCUCCUCCUCUCCCCAUCGUCGUUGCUCACCCUCCUCUUCCUCCUCUCUUAUGGGAUAAUAGUGUCACAAGGAUGAUGGCUGCACCGAUGCUAUCUCUCAUAACAUAUUAUCCAUGUCCUCUUCCUCUUCUUAUUUUGUCUCACCUCCCGUCAUCGUUUUCUUUCUUCUUCAUUCUCACGUCUCCAAGAUCCACCACAAUCACCAUCAAACUACUAUCAUUGUCAUGAUCGUCACUCUCAUCUCACGGAGUCAUAGAUGUUUGAAUCAAUAUCAACAAGAUCAACCACCAUCACAAUAGUCACCUAUGAUCCUUAAUAACGUCACCAUCUGUCAUAAUUACGAUAAUCAAUUUGUCAUAAUUAGGAUAAUCAACUAAGAAGUUUUAAUUAUGAUAUAAUAAAAGUAAAUAUAACUAGGAUGUUGAAAUUAUUUUUUUACUUAUUAUUUUGUAUCAUUUGGUUGUAAUAAAAUCGAUGAUAUUAGGAUAAACAAUAUUAAAUAUUUCACAAAAAUGUCAAUAUGAAUGUUUUUUAACACGCUGUUUUGCCUCACGCCCAGCAGUGGCUCCCACAGCGGAGCGGAGGGGUCCCAUCUUACGGGAAGACAUGAGAUUAAAUGACAGGCAAUCUGUAAUUAGCCCCAUGUAACGAAGGGUUCAAAAAUUUACUCGCCCAUUGGCGGUGGCUCCCACAGCGGAAGGGUCCCAUUUUAGGGGAAGACAUAAGAUUAAAUGGCUGAACCGUGACCGGAAGGUGACAGGUGAUCCAGAAAUUUUUUUUCCAGCUGCUGCUUUUGCCUCACGCGGACGGGCCUCGGGCAAUUGACCCCAUCACGCGGCCUCAGAGCACCGACGACCAUUCUCCCCCGCUUGCGCUUUCUAAAAAUACAUAUGGAGAGUCCACCCUUACCUGGAUCCUGUCCCGACUCUUUGAUCUCCCGUCUGCCAAGCUUGUGAAAAACUUCAGAUGUGAGUCUGACCUCCACGAAGCAUACACCUGCAAACCUGUGAAACCUCGGCAAGCUCUUAUCUGAAAAGCCAUGAACAAGCUCUUUACCAUGUCUGCGUGAGUAGUAAUCGAUCAUACCAAUCCUAAAUGUUUCAGAUCAAGUGCCAUGAACCCCAUUUCUGAUUUCGAAAAAGGUCCUACCAAGAUCAUGUUCUCAUAAACCAUUUUACAGCAUAUCGGAACUGAAACAAAUUCUUUAUUUUGGAGAAAAGCAGAUACAUCUUCCAGAUCCCUAUUUCUCAUCACUCUAGUCACAGACAAAGGAAUCUUCAUUUAUCGUGCCACGCUGGGUCAUAGACGACACCGGUGAUGGAAAUGCAGAGUGCUCAGCUUUUACCAAGGCGACCUCGAUUUGAUUUGUAGCCCUUAAUAAUCUUCUGCAGUGCUCUUUUGGCUUCCUCCAGAGUCUCGAUCGAGUGUUCCACCUCGAACGAUAGUCGUUGAAUAUUGAACUGUAUGGUCAAGAUAAGGUCUACGAAGAUUAUGGAACAUAAAGAAAACAAUAUACAUUAAAAAACAUCGGCAUAUUGUGUAGCCAAAAAGAGUUGGACAACCCAAUCAGUUUAUUUUGAUUGACAGAUAAACAAACUCUUUUUCAGAAACUGUCUAUUGGAGACUACCAGCAUUUAUAAUGACACCACUCUCAGACUAUCUUCCAGGAUUAUAUUUGCAAGCAAAUAACAACCAGUUCCACUAGCAAACCAGAAAAGAAAAAAUUGUAAAAUAACACUUCAUAGCUCUUAGCCUUACUAGUUAGCCAACCUUACUUUGAGGCCCAUUCACACAUUUCAAUCAAAUCUACAUCCUAUGCUAAGAUCAAGAGAAUGACUAUCUUUCUCCUAAACGGCAUAAUAAGGUUUAAUAUCUUGGCCCAAUAUUAGUUUCGACACCUUAUCGGCUGAUGGGGUACUGAUGUAUUAAGUGGUAACAACCUGUACCACUAGUUAUGGCUGAAAACAAAUAAAAUAAAAAAGAAUGCCGAUUGGUACCAAUACCAAGUACAGGUCCUUGGUUGAAUUAAUAAUACUUGAGUGGUAUUUAAAACACUGCAAGCCAACCAUAAUAUGAAAAAUUUCUAAUCCAAAUAUGAGACUCAUAAUCCACCAAUUUUCGGUGUUAUAUAUUUGCUAUGCUUUGUCAAACUAUCUAUAGUAUCAUAUAGAAAAGUGGAUCACAUCAUUUAAAAUUUUAUAUAUAUUAAAAAAAAGCACAAUCCUUAUUAAGCAACCUGACAUACUAUAAAACCAUCCACUUAAAUUAUUUCUCAUUUCUGGUGUUUCCCUUCCGAAACUCAAAAAUUUCUUUACAUAUCCACCAUCUUAUUCUCUAAUAAUGUUGCACACAGAUAAAUGGGGACUUAAAGCUAAUAUAUAAAACAGUUCAUUCUAAAAUUCACUACUUUGAAGUACAUAGAAACACAAAUUAGACUCCUCUAUUAAACAUAUGUAAACUAAUCCAAACCCUAGAACUAUCCAUAUUCUCAGUACCCCUCUCAAUCAAUGACAACAUUCACAUAUGUGCACACUUUUGGGAGGAGAAACCUGGAUAUCCCUCAGUGAUCAAAGUCAAUAAUUUUUCAAUAAUUUAUGAUUUUAUCCCAACCCCUUAUCUGCAUACAACCCCUUCAAUUUAUCAAGACAAAAGCCUUUCAGUUGACUAUAACACUAGCCUUUAAUUCCUUUCAUAACCUAGACCAUAGUUCUGAUUUUUGACAUUCCUAAACAAAAUUCAGCCCAUGUUCAUCAAUUAUAAUACCGAGUUCCUCUCUAACUUUUUCCCCUACUUUGAAGCCCCUUCACCAAAAAAAAAGACACACACACACAUACAUAUGUAUGUAUGUGUGUAUAGACAGUGAGAUUGGCAAAUAUUGAAUUACUAGACGGCUUAAGCCCAACAGAGUUUUCUGUAAUGAAGUUCCUAAGGUUCAAUACAUCCCUGACUACAAGAUUAUCAAAAAGAAUUUCUCCUUGGCUGGAUCAACUAACAUCCUUCAUUGAGUUUUAAAUAAGUCAUAUAUACAUGAAGGACAAUCAAAUAACUUACAACAAUAAUAGUUCUGGAAAUUUUAAAUGCAAC
rnacentral:lncRNA from 1 species